CAGCAGGGGCCUAAUAUGUCUUAACAAUCUAAAUAAUUUGCACUGCAACCUGUGCAGGUGCGGAUUGCUCAAGGUCUUGUCCAUCUUGGCAAAGGGUUGUUGACCCUUGCUCCAUAUCAUUCUGAAAGAUUUUUACUAUCCCCGUAAGUUAAUCUUGUUUUGAAAGAGUAGCAGUCUGCCCCAUGUUGCCAUUUUAAUAUGUAUAUUUGCAUCAAACCCAUUUGAUGUUGCAUCUGCAUGAGAGAAUGUUAUCAUAUAUGGAGGUAAUUAUGGUGGUCAUGUACUUGCUUAGUGUACCGAGUUGAUUCUUUUUUACUUGGUAUGAAUACAGUUGAUGGGGCAACUUGGUUCAAAACAGUCUUGAACCACCGACUGUGUGGUUAUAGCGAAUUCUUGGAUUUUGCUUGAUUUUGGAUGGUGUGAUACAUUUUGCAUGCCUGAACAAGUACUUAAGCCCUCUGAUUUGGCUAAUCGAAAGCAUUAAGAGUUAUGUAUGUAGUUUUCUUAAUCUAUCCAGAAGCAAUGGAUCAAGCGGAGUGACAUCAAGGAAUUCGUGUAAUUCACUUCAAAUUUCUAAUAAUCACCAUUAGUUUGUAGUGUCCUUGAUCCUUAACGUUUUUAAUUUAAGAAAUUAAUCUAGAAAGAGAUAUUAUAGAGCUCAGUGCUGUUGGCAUUAUCUUUACUCUAAACUACAUUUUGUGCAUUCAUGACCCCUUUUUCUUACCUUCUUUGAAGGACUGCACUGGCUGGACUCGUGACUUUUCUGCAUGCAUGUCUUGAUAUGAAGGCUAUUGUCUUGGGGAAGUACCAUUAUGUUCUAUACUUCCUUGUUCUUGCUAUGCAGGUUUGUCUUUUUUCAUGUUGGGUGGCUGUUAUGUCCCUUUUUUGUUUGUCUUUUUUACCUUCCAUGUCUUUUUUUUUUCUUGAUGCUGCUUACAAUAUAAUGAAUAUACUGUCUACAGCCAAGGAUGCUGAUGACUGUGGAUGAAAACCUGAAACCUCUGUCAGUACCUGUUCGAGUGGGCCAAGCUGUUGAUGUAGUGGGUCAAGCUGGUCGCCCCAAGACUAUUACAGGUUUCCAGACCCACUCAACUCCAGUUCUUCUGUCUGCUGGUGACCGAGCUGAGCUAGCAACUGAGAAGUAAGUUAUAUCAUCCUUGUGAGAUGUGCUGUUCAUUUAUUGCGUUGGGAGUCCUAUAAGUUAUAGGUCCUACAAAAAAUAUGUGAAUAAUAAGUGGGUAGUAAGUUGUAGGUUUUAUGAAAUGUAUAGAUAAAAUAUAUGUUUGACCCAGCUUAAACUAAAAUUUCAGUUAAAACUGAACGUAUGCAUUACAUGCUAAUAUCCAUUGGCCGUGCAGAUAUGUUCCUGUGUCUCCCAUUCUUGAGGGUUUCGUCAUCCUUAAAGAGAAUCCAGAGUACAGAGAGGAUAAUUGAUGCUAAAUUAGGUCGCAUGUGGCCUCAAUUUUCGUUUUUAAUCCAGUCUGGUCCAGAAUCACGCACUUGAACAUUUCGCUGUGAAAUAGAUAUCUAUGGCUGACUGAUGACCUUUCCCUUUUCCUAUUUAUCAAGUUUUAUCUAUUUUACCGCUGAGCUCUCGAGACGUGUUGUGUCUUUUGAAAUAGUGAUACAAUGCAUGGAACUAUUAAUUUCAUGGUCUUUAUUAGCAUAUUCUAUAUAUAGUCUUCUGCAACCUUAUGUAACUCAUGAAUUACUGCACUGUAAAUUUGUGACUUGAUCGCAAAAAAAAAAAAAAAAGACACCACGCUUUUACAUUUUUUUUCCUUCUUGUCCUUGAUGUUUUCUCUAUUCAAUGCAAUAGGUUAUGAGAGUCGAGUUUUAUUUUCUAGUACGAAAUAUAUUUCUGUAGCAUGGAUGAUUGUGAUAGAGCUGAGGCUUCAACCCGAGGACCUCGUUAGUGUUGUCAAGUAUAAAUGAAUAAUCUCUAUCAUGGAGAGCAAUAAAUAACGUGAAACAUGAAAAAUGGAAGCAAGAAUAAUCGAGAUAUAUGUGGGUUUACUCUCAAUGUGAAAGUUAUGUUAACUUUGCAGAAGGUUCGUCCUAAUACAUUUUAAGUGGGAGAAAAGUGUUAGGGCAGCUUGAAACAUGUGCGAAUUUCACCAUGUACUGCUAUAACACUUUGUCUCCCCACACUAGGGGCCUGUGAGCAAAGGAAGUUGUACAAUAGGUCUUCUAAGCAGAUUGAGAUGUAAUGCAUUGGCAUCUUAGAAAAUCCUUGAAACAUAUUGAUGAAUAUGGACUAAAAAAUACUUGAUAAUUUAAAGGAUAAAAAAUUAAAAUCACGAUCAUUUUAAAUAUUUAGUUGCAACAAACCUAUGCAACUAGGUUUAUCUUCGUAUUUCACAACCCCUAGCAUGUAUGGACUUGAAUUGAGAGGAGACCCCUUUUUUGGGAAAAAGAUCCACUUUUUAAAACCAAAGCUGUACCCAUAUGUUAUGAAGCCACUCAUUGUCUUGCUCAAGAGACCUCUUUGCUCUUUCGUUGAAAAGCAUGUGUGAAUCAACAUCACAAUAUUCAGACUACACAGCAGCUACUUGUAAAGAAUAUUCAAUAUUAACUAGGUACAUGAAUGUAAUAUUUGUUUUAUAGGACACAUUACAUGAAUGUUAAAAAAAAAAAAGAAGUUAAAAUCUUGUCGAUUGUAGUGUCGUAUACAAGUAACAAUAAUAUUCUAUAUAUGUGUGUGUAUGUAGAACUUAGGCCAAGACCUCAAGGAUCAAACCAACAUGUGAAAGCAUAUGAUUUGGAUAUGGUUGGCAUUACAUUUCUUGACUAGUUGCUUGGUUUCAUCGUUCAAAAGUCACACACACAUGAGCUUGCUCUUCUAGCCUUCAAGUUUCGUAUACAGUUUGACCUCAAUAACAUGUUGACAAAGAAUUGGUCAUGACAAACUCCCAUUUGUAAUUGGAUUGGUGUUGUGUGUGGCAGAAGGCACCCACGAGUUACACGCUUUAGUCGCUUCGACAUGGGUCCUAGAGGUACAAUCGCGAAAGAAUUAGGUCAUCUCUCAUUUCUUGUUCAUUUGGACAUUGGAAACAAUAGUUUCUAUGGCCACAUCGGAGACGAAAUUGGGCAUUUGUGUCAAUUGCAUAUAAACAUUCAAACAAGCUGACGGGUCAGAUUCCUACGAAUUUUGCUUACUUAUCUCAACUUCAGGACUUGAACCUUUUUGACAACAGUCUCACUGGACCUAUACCUGCUGCAGUGUUUAAUCUUUCCCCUUUAGUGAGCAUUUCCAUCGGAAAAAAAUCAAUUUUUUGGGACGUUUCCAAUGGACCUUUGUGACAUUUUGCCAAACAAGGAUUGAACCUUUUGCAGAAUCAGUUGAGUGGUUCUUUACCAACAAGUUUACCCAAUUUUGCAAAACUUGAGAAGAUCUCUGUCUGUCAACAAUUUCACAGAAAGCAUUCCAAUGGUGAUCGGAAACUUGACACAGCUAUAUUCUACUUGGGCCUCGAUAGUUUGAAUGGUACGUCUCAUCUUUCCUGUAAACUUGUUUCUGGCCUUAAAUUGACUUUUCUUUGCUUGAUCCACGUCGUCUGAAAGUAUAAGCAGUUCGGCAAGGAAGUAUAGUUCUUUUUACCAGUUCAUUUUUUCAAUUUAUUUCAGGAGAAUUGCCUUCAACAAUCUUUAACAUCUCGACCUUGGUGGAUAUUGAUGUUUCAUUCAAUCAAAUUUUUGGAAGAUUUCCUAAUGAUCCCUGCCAUCUCUCGACAAAGCUUGAAGUCUUCUAUCUUUUCAACAACCAAAUUUAUGGCCAAGUCCCGUCUAGUAUCUCACAUUGCCUUGUGCUCAAAGAGCUCAAUCUGUCCCAUAACUUACUCACAGAAAGUCUUCCUAUGGCAUCGGAAACUUAUCAGCGCUUCAAUGGUUGUAUUUGUACAGAAAUAACUUGACAGGUACCCAAAGUCCUUCCUUCAAUUCAAAUAAGUGGUGCAGCGUUUGGUAAGACUACUAAACAAUAUUAAAAACAAAAUAGAAGUUAAAAUCUUAUGUACUGUAUCAUUUAAUACUAUCUAAUACUAGUACCGAACAUGUCCCAGAAGUUUUUCUUCGAUGGAAUUAUAUUAAGAUUUGCAAUAACUCUACAGGUAAUAUUCCGAAUUCAAUUGGCAAUAUGUCGAACUUGGAGAUAUUCCAUGUUGGUUCGAAUAGUAUUCAAGGACAUGGUCCUGAAAAAUUGGGAGUUCUGUCGAAUAUGAAAGAGUUGUUUAUUGGUCCAAACAAGCUUGAGGGUGAAAUCCCGGAAUUCAUUUUUAAGCCGUUUAGUUUACAAGCACUUUCUCUCGUAGAUAAUUAUGUGAAAAUCUUCCAGCUACAAUAGGAAAAGGACUUCGCAAUAUAGAAAAGUGUUUAUUUUGGUGGUAAUCAAUUCAGUGGAUCAAUUCCAAGCUCUAUAGCAAAUGCCUCAAAGCUCACAUUACCUGAUCUUAUAAACAAUAUGUGUAGUGGAUAUGUACCGUUGGAUCUUGGCAACUUGAAACACCUCGAUUCUCUUAGCUUAGCGAAGAAUCAGUAGAAAAACGAUCCAUCUUUUCUUGAGUUGGACAUUUUUCUUUGAGAAAUUGUAGAUAACUUUCAAUCCUCUAAAUGGAAGGAUUCCAAAAUCUUUAUUUUCAAGGAAUCCGUCUCUGUCCCUUGAGUAAUUUUAUGCGGUUUCUAGUGGCUUCAAGGGCACGAUUCCAGGCGAAAAUUGGGAAUUUGGGCAAUUUAUGGUUGUCAAGCAUUGGAGGAAAUGACUUGACAGGAUCAUUGCCUCGAGCACUUGGAAACUUGACGAAGAUGCAAGCCUUGAACUUGCACGCUUGUAAAUUUCAUGGUUCGAUACCAAAAAACUUUUGCAAUUAUACAAAACCAUAUCAUUUAGAUUUGGAGGAAAAUAGGCUCUUUGGAGAAGUACCAGGUUGUCUAGGAGACAUUACGGCAUUGCGAGAAAUACACCUGGCAUACAAUGUAUUCAAUUCGACUAUACCAUCAGCAUUAUGGAGUAACAAAGACAUUGAGAUACUGGACUUGUCUUAUAAUUAAUCUCAGUGGUGUCUUGGCUCAAGAAACUGGCAGUCUAAAGAGCAUGAGAGAACUGUAUCUAUCAAGUAAUAGGUAUCAGGUGAUAUUCCAAGUACUGUCGGACAACUUCAAAGUCUAUUAAAUCAAUAUUAUCGAACAAUAAAUUACGUGGUUCUAUACCUGAGUCGUUUGUGACUUUGCUGGAUUUAGAAUUCUUGGACUUAUCCCACAAGUUCUAAGGUCUAAUCCUCAAGUCCUUGGAGAAACUUCCACAUCCCAAGUAUUUUAAUGUUUCUUUCAACCAACUCAGCGGUGAAAUUCCAGACGAAGGGCUUUUCUCAGACUUCACUGCUGAAUGUGUCACAGGUAACAUAGAUUUGUGUGGAGCAUCUCGAUUCAAGGUCGAGGCAUGUCAGUAAAACUAAUAAACCAAGACCAGUGAGCAAGAUAUGACUUUCAAUAUUACUGGUCAAAGUUGAACGUGCAUUGCACAUUAUUUUAAAAUACAUUAUAAGUGAUGUAAAAGUAAUAUUUGAUACCAAUUUGUUGCUGCUAUAAAGGUUCUCGACUCAAAUCUACAAGGUGCAUUCAAAAGUUUUGAUGCAGAAUGCGACAUAAUUUGCAAUAUUGGCUACAGAAAUCUUGUCAAAGUACUCGGCCGUUGCACAAAUCUCGAGUUUAAAGCCCUUUUGCUUGAGUAUAUGCCCAAAGGUUACCUCCACAAUUGGCUUUAUUCUCACAACUACUUCCUAAACGUAACUCAAAGAUUGCAAAUUAUGAUAAAUGUAGCAUCUGCAUCAAGGUUAUUCAUCUCCCGUUGUUCAUUGUGAUUUGAAGACAAGCAACAUACUUUUGGAUGAAAGUAUGGUAGGACAUGUGGCUCAUUUUUGGAAUUUUUAAGCUUUUGACAAAAGACCAAAGAAUUUCACAGACGAAGACUUUAGGCACCAUCGGGUACACGGCACCAGGUAAACUUCAAAUCGAUCAAUAAUAUUAGAAUCCAAUAAAUCAGUCCGAAUGAGCUUACUAAUGGGAUCUUCACAUGAAGAUAAGUUCUUGCAGUAGAAAUGAGAGCAUUGAAUUAGUAGUCAUGCAUUAUUUUUAUUUGAUUGAUUAAAACUAGCAGAAUACGGAUCGGCAGGACUAGUGCAGAUGUUUACAGUUUUGGGAUUUUAUUUAGGGAAGUGUUUGCAGGAAAACAGCCCACAGACGACAUAUUUUCGGUCAAGGUCAUGCUAUUUGUACUUGUUUAUUCACCCUUUGGUUUACUUGGGGCCACCUUCUCCUCUCACAUGGGGGUUGGACCCCAUGUCAUGACCCCCACCCCGACCUCAUGUGAGAGGAGUGAUGGGGUCGGAUAAUCCAAAAUGUCAACAAACAAGUACAAAUGACUUAAUUCUUUCGGGAGAAUCAAUGCUGAAGAGAUGGGCCUGGAAUCUAUAUUAAGUUCCUGAAUGAGAAAAAUGUUAUGACCAAACAAAAUCAGUUGAUAUCAGACAUUGGAGUAGCCAUAGAAUGCCCAACAGAAAUACCUGAGGAGAGGAUCAACAUUAAAGAUGUCUUGAUUAGCGUACAGAAGGUCUCUUUCUAAUUACUUAGGCUUAAUCCUUUAACAAUCUGUUUUAGAUUAUCCAAUAACAGCAACAUAUUUCAAAUGUUUAGCACAAAGAGAAAUGAAGAAUCGCACUUGUUCUUUCAUGCUUAACGAAAAUUUAUUCCCAAUGCAUAGUUCCAAAUCGCCACCUUUUAUCUUGGCCUGAAUAUCGAGGGCACAAGCUAUUCCACACUACGAUAGAGACAACUUUCAUUCAUUUCCUUGCGUCUCUGACAGAAAGGUUUUAUUCUUCCAAGGCCAUCAAUUCAUCGAGCGAGGAUGGAUCAAAAGCGAAAGUUACUUGAAACCAAUUCUUGAGUCCUAAAGCAACCCCAUUAACCUUGAAAUCUAACCCCAUUAACCUUGAAAUCUACUUUAUGAAGAUUGAAAUGACGAAUUCUAUAGAAUUUAACCCAAAAAAUAGUUAAAUAAUCCAGAAUUUAUUCUUUCACCUUGGAAAACGAUCAGGACUCUCCCUCAGCCAGCUUGUAACAGAAGUCCUCGCAGUCAUUACUGCAAUCAAGGAUGGACAGAUUUAACAUUUACCUGAUGCAAAAUCUUUUUGCAGAUAAUUCUCCAAACAAUUUCUAGAUCCCAAGAAUAUCAAAUUCUCUGGAGGUGUAGUCCCUCAACUAGCAGGUGGUAAUACAUCUCAUCAGAAAGGAUUGGGCGUACACCAGUAUCUCAAUCAAAGGCAGUUUCUGAUUGAUUCUUUGUCAUGUGAGGGAGAUAAAAUUUGUCGAACAAAUUAUUACAGUUACUACUGGAUUGGACAAAGAAUCUGAGUUCGUUGUUGUCCAAGUAACAUCCAAUCUGCAUACUUACUCCUUUAGAGAGACGAUGCUUGAAAAAACUGAAGGGGCACGAUUUCCAGACUCGAGUCACAAACCAUGUCAUCAAUGAGUUUCAAAUGAACAUCAGAAGGAAACAAACUCUACAAGAUCUCCUUGCGAAGGAGAAGAUGUUAUAUUCAUGAGCAGGAUCCACACCGAUGAUUUCUGGUUCUACAAUCUCUGGCCCUGCCGGAGAUCCCUCAUUCUACAGAAGAAUAGUUGGUGGACUGUACUAAGCAAUUGCGAUAAUGCCUGAGCUUUCAUGCGGUGUCAAGAACAUAUGCCAGUUUAUGCAAAUCUCAAGUAACAUCCACUCGAAAAUUGCCAAAAGAAUAACCAAAUACCUAAAAGGCACUUUAAAUUAUGGUCUCAUUCAGUCAUUCUUCAACAAUCUAAGAAUCCUUCUCAUAAGAUAUUUCAAUGCAGAUUGGGUAUCUUAUCCAAUAUCAAUUUCUGGAUAGUGUGUACACUUGGGGGAUAAACUUGUUUCUUGGAGCUUAAAGAACCACAGCACGAUAUCCAGAUCAUUAAAUGUUACCACAUAGAAUAACUCGAUCUUGAAAGCUUGAGAUCUAAAGGGUUAUAUGUAAAUAUAUGAUACACCACAAUCAUGGUCCCUCCCGAGCAUUACCCUCCUCAUUUCUUUCUCCCAUCAGUCGUCAUUUACCCAGCUCACAAAAUUUAAUGCAUGAGCAUGCUUGAAAUGGGUGUGCCUAUUCUAGCUAUUUGGGAAUGACUAAAGUUUGUGAAUACUGUUUAUUGUGUUGUGUGUUGAGAAUGAAUCUUUACCUAAUCAAAUGUCUCUUUAUAUGUCUAUAAACAGUUUUUUAGUUUAAAGAUCACAUUAAUAUAUAAAUGAUAAAUAAAAGCAAAUAAAUCUCUCAAUCACUUGCUCAAGAUCACAACCUCAAUGAAUAAUCAUUAUAUCAUAAUAACAUAACAAGUAUUAACAUAUUCUAGUUAUUUUAAAUAAAAUUAACUUUCAGCAAACUUCACAAUGUUUCACAACCAGUGGAGGAUAGUGAUAUUCUCCAUCAUUAUUUUCAUUACAAAUAGAAAAUGAAGAAGAAUCUUCUCCCAUGAAAAACAAACAUUUAUUGACUAACCCUUGUUGAUCCAAUGCGUGAUUGGAAUGGAGAAACUAUCAGAAUAUAUAGAAACAACAUUCAUUGUUUCUUUGCGUGUCUCUCAUAAAAAGCUUUUAUCCUUCGAAGGCCAUCAUCGAGUGAUGAUGGCUCAAUGGCAAAAGUUACUCGGAGCCAAUUCUUGAGUCCUACAGCAACCCCUGCAAGGAGAAUUUUACUCGUAUGUUAGCUGAUAAACCCAGUCAAUUCACUUUAUGAAGAUGGAAAUGACCAAUUUGAUACCAAAAUUCUAAGCAAAAACUACAAACAAAACUGUCCUCUGCAUGCCAACAGCACGACUCCAGAGGUUUUUGAAGCUUUCUUAGUUCUGAUUUGGUUGGCAUUAACACUCACCUUCCUAUAAGAGCUAACUAACACAAAGAUUCGUGAAUCCUAAUCAAAGCCCGUCAAGAUUUGACAAUUCAAAGUUGAGUGAAAAUAUGUAGUCUCGCAAACAUGCUUCAGCAACAGCAGUGUAGCCUACAUACAGUACCAUUUCGACUAAUGGGAUCUGCUGGUUUAUUCAAUUGCUCAAUGAGGAUUUCAUCAUUUCAAGAGGAAAUUAUGUCCACAAUUGGGAGACUUAUUUGGUAAUCUCUUCUUAACAUGAGCACGAUCAGUUUAUCACCCAUGAAUACAAUGGUCUCAUCAAAUCUUUAAAGCAGCAGAAAGUUACUUGCAAACUUUUUUAAAAAAAAGGGCCUUUUAUUUAAGCAGCUUACCAAGUAGAAGGGACAACACAGGAAACUCUCUGUCACCAUCAACAAACGGGAGGAAAUCUCAUACUAAAAAUUGUUCACAACAACGAGCGUUUUUUGUUCACUAUGACAACUACAGGGAAAAGUUAUUCAGCUCCUACUCUAUAAAAAGGUCAUUAUAGAAGAGAGUUCGUAUGAAAUCUAUGCAGUUGGAAUAACUAUGGGACAGAUGGACGGCCAAGGGGUUCAGUCAAGCCUGAACAUCCAUCAGCUUUUGAUGCCGCAGACAUGGAUCCAACACUGAAGCAGGAGUGAGAAGAUUCAUUUCUAAGAAAGGGUUUGGAUAAUAUGGAUACAUAUGGACCUCUUGGCACAUAUAUUUAAAGUUUAGUUGCUGCAUUGGCAAACCGAUAUGAUCCAGGAGUCGAGCCAGACGAAGGCGAGUGCGAGAUGAGAUCCGUUGAUAGUCGAUGACACACCAAUGACGCGAUCAAGGGCAAAGUAAGUGAAACAAGCGAUGAGAUUGUUCGUUCAAGAAACCAUUGAUGGAACCAUGUUCGAGACUCAAAAUGGAGUAACUUUCAUGUUCGGGUCGAAAGAUGAAUCAACUUGGAUCAAUUUAAUAUCGAAGGCCGAAGACGGAGGAAAAUGAUAAGCCUAUGCGAUCGCAUAGGCUUAUGAGGCUUGCGAUCGCAUAGAGGCAUACCGAAACUCAAGAUGGGAUUUUUAGUUGAACCAUGCGACCGCAUGGAAAUACACUUUGCGGUCGCAUAGGCCUUUUUUUUGGCGAAUUUCCUAUUUUUGGUAUUUUUCCAUAUUUUGUUAGAUUUUGAUUCUUUUCCAUUCCUAAUUAUUCUAGGUCGACUUUUGCACGAUUUUUACCUAGUUUUUAGGUUUAGUAUAGAUAGGAGUUUUCAUUCAAUUGUUAAGAAACCUUUGACAUUUUGAUAUUGAAUUAAAAGUGAGGCGUAUUGUCUUCUUUUUAUCGUUGUUCAUUGAACAACUUUGAACUUAUCAAAUAUUAACUUGUGGCGUUCAAAUAACCAGAUUUAAUGUUUGGAUUGCGUGAUCAAGGGAUCUUUCAAGCGUCGUUCUUGUUGGAUUUUUUGAUUCGACGUUCUUUUGGGUUAAUCCUAAACUCUUGGAUUAAUUUGGCUUUCUUAGGUUCGUCAAUCUCGUUGUGGGUUUUAUAGUCAACGUUGCUACGGAGUUCGCAUCAGUUAGUAUCAGAGCUUUGGCUCCAAAUUUAUUGAAGGUUAUAUCUUCUCUUUAUUUGUUUGAGUCGUUAAUUUUAUUUUCUUAGUUUCUUCUUCAGUUUUAAUUGUUCUUUCUUAGUUCUUCUUCGUUCUUUUUUUUCUUUUCGUCGUUUCGUUGAGUUGUUGGUAGUUUAAUCAUCUUCUUUCAUCAAAGAGUAAAAAAAAAAAGUACAAAAAAAAGUUACUGUACAUUCGAAGUACUGUUCACAAACAAAAAUAAAAUAAAAUAAAAUAAAUUUUGAUAUUAUUAUUGUUUGAUUUUGUUUUUCUACCAACAACAAUUCCUACAUUGUGCUUGACUUUGGGAUAUUCAAUUGGGUUCGAUUCUUUCAAUCUUCUAUUGAGUCUAUUCACAUAUUCUUGUCAAAAUAUUCAUCUAUUCCACUUAUUCAAGUCCUUUGAGUCUCGUGGUCUUCGAUUAGUAUUCGGUUUGCUUGAAUUCCUGGUAAAACAAUUGAUUUAGUUCACUUGGUUCUUUGAAGUGCUUGGAGGGAGACUUUGAGUGGUAAAAGGCCGAGUGGUGAGUUUAAUAGAGGGAAAAAGCCAUAGUGAGUGUUUUCCGAGUGAAAUCUUUGUGAAGCAUGAAAAAAUUGUGUGAUAUGAUGCCGGAAAGAGAGUUCUAAUUCAAGCCGAAACGGUAAUGACAACAAUGUAUCGGAGGACAUGAUAAGGAGGUUUGAAAGGGUACUUGGUAAUGUUAGGGAGAAGGUGGAUAGGCAAGGGGAAUGGAUGGCGCGAAUAGGUACUAUAAUUGCUAAUCUUAGCUGAGGACAAGUGGAGAUGUCUAAUGCUAGGGGGCCGGGUAGGCGUGAAUCUAGGAGAGGAAGACGAGAUAACUAUCGUAGUGAUGAGGAUGAUUUUGAUGAAAAUGACGUUGAUAUGGGUCGAGCGAGGCAUAGGGGCGAUAGGAUGAAAAGACGGGGUAGAAAUAACUUGGGAGAUGAAGUAGAUGGAAAUUUGGGGAGUAUUAAAAUGACUAUUCCUCAAUUUAAGGGGAGAAGCGAUACGGAAGCAUAUUUAGAGUGGGAAAGGAAGGUUGAGAUGAUUUUUGAGUGCUAUAAUUUUUCGGAGGAGAAAAAGAUAAAAUUGGCGGUACUUGAAUUUGUGGAUUAAGCGAUAUCUUGGUGGGAUCAAGUACUUACAUCACGGCGUAGGGGUCGGGAAAAGCCAAUUAGUACUUGGGAUGAAUUGAAGGUAUUGAUGAGGAGAAGGUUUGUUCCGAGUCACUAUUAUAGGGAAAUCCAUCAAAAAUUGCAAGGUUUGUACCAAGAAUCGAAAAGUAUAGAGGAUUAUCACAAGGAGAUGGAAAUUCUAAUGAUUCGGGCUAAUGUGGAGGAAGAUCGGGAAGCUACCAUGACACGGUUCUUGAAUGGGUUAAAUCGGGAUAUUGCAAACGUUGUAGAGUUGCAACACUAUGUGAAAAUCAAGGACAUGUUACAUGUAGUAAUGAAGGUUGAGAGGCAAUUGAAGAGGAAGGGGACAUCUAGGCAACUGUUAGGUACUUCGACUCCUAAUCCAACAUGAAAAUCGAAGUGGGAUGACAACAACAAAAACGGGGUUUGCACCUAGAGGUAAAAACGAUUGGCAAAAGGGCAAGGAUGAAAACGCUAGCAAACAAUAUAAAAACCGGAGGCACAACCGUCACGCAAUCGGGACAUCAAAUGUUUUAGGUGUUUGGAAACGGGGCAUAUUGCUUCUCAAUGCCCAAACAAACGGGCGAUAGUGUUGCGGAAUAAUUGAGAGAUUGUGAGCGAUAGUGAUGGCGAGUUUGAUGACAUGCCAAUGUUGGAGGAUGUUAGUGAAGAAGAAAAAGUUGAAGGGCCGAUUGGGGAUCUACUAGUCACAAGGCGAGCUCUUACUACUCACGUCAAAGCGGAUGAUUUGGAGUUGCAACGGGAGAACAUUUUCCACACUCGAUGCCACGUCAACAAUACGGUAUGUAGUGUUAUAAUUGAUGGUGGUAGUUGAACUAAUGUAGCUAGCAUAUCUUUUGUAGAAAAAUUGGGUUUAACAUUGUUGAGACACCCGAUACCUUAUAAAUUGCAAUGGUUGAAUGAGAGUGGCGAGGUGAGGGUGAAUCGAAGGGUGCUAAUUAAUUUGUCAAUUGGGAGUUAUAAGGACGAGUUAGUGUGUGAUGUGGUGCCAAUGCAAGCGGGGGCAUAUUUUAUUGGGGCGACCAUGACAAUACGAUAGGAAAGCUAUGCAUGAUGGGUUUAAAAAUCGAUAUAGUUUCAUUAAAGAUGGAAGGACCAUUACUCUUGUGCCAUUAACACCGGAGCAGGUCUAUGAUGACCAAUUAAAAUUGAGAAGUGAUGUAGAGAGGAGAAUCAAAGAGUUAGAAAAAAAGAGAGAAAGUGGUGAGUUAGAGAAGAAGAGAGAAAAUGUUGAAAAAGCCACCAAAAAGAAAAAGAGAGAGCAAGCAAAAGAAAGAAAAGAAAGGGAGUAUUCCAAGAGGAGAGAAAACAUGAGCGAAUUUCUUUGCAAAGGAGAAUGAUUUGAGGAUGGCGGUAGUUGAGAGAAAAGAGAUGAUAUAGUUCGUUUAUAAGGAAUCACUCCUCAAUUUUGAGGAAACUGACCCACCCCUCCCUAGUUUGGCAAAGUCUUUAUUGCAGGAAUUCGAGGAUGUAUUUUCGGAGGAUGCACCAAGUGGAUUGCCACAUAUUCGAGGCAUUGAGCAUCAAAUUGAUUUCAUACCCAGAGUUGUCAUUCCAAAUCGACCGGUUUAUCGAAGUAAUCCCGAGGAGACUAAAGAAUUUCAAAGGCAAGUGGAGGAGUUAAUGAGCAAAGGAUACGUGAGGAAAAACAUGAGUUCUUGUGCGGUACCGACUUUGCUUGUGCCAAAAAAGGAUGGAACAUAGCGAAUGUGCGUGGAUUGUAGGGCUAUCAACAACAUAACGGUAAAGUAUCGUCACCCCAUACCUAGGUUAGAUGACAUGCUUGAUGAAUUACAUGGUGCUUGCAUAUUUUCUAAAAUUGAUUUAAAAAGCGGGUAUCAUCAAAUUCGUAUGCAGGAGGGUGAUGAAUGAAAAACGGCUUUUAAAACUAAAUAUGGUUUAUAUGAAUAGUUGGUUAUGCCGUUUGAACUCAUAAAUGCACCUAACACUUUUAUGCGUUUAAUGAAUCAUGUUUUAUGUGCUUUUAUAGGAAAAUUUGUUGUGAUUUAUUUUGACAUCUUAAUCUAUAGCAAAGACUUAGGAGAGCAUAUGGAACAUUUAAAGUGUGUUAAUUGUUUUAAGGAAAGAACAAUUCUAUGCUAAUCUUAAAAAAUGCACGUUUUGUAUGGAUAGAGUUCUUUUUCUUGAUCUUGUAGUUAGUGCUAAUAGGGUAGAAGUAGACGAUGAAAAGAUAAAAGUUAUUAGAAAUUGGCCGACACCUAAAAACACAACAGAAGUUAGGAGUUUUCAUGGUCUGGCUAGUUUUUAUAGGUGUUUUGUGAAGGAUUUUAGCACUAUCACCAUGCCACUCAUAGAAGUAGUUAAAAAGAGUGUAGGUUUUUAUUGGGGUGAUGAAUAAGAACUUGCAUUUAAUACUAUUAAAGGUAGAUUGUGUGAAGCACCUGUUUUGGCAUUACCUAACUUUGAUAAAACAUUCGAGAUUGAGUGUGAUGCAUCGGGAAUAGGGAUUGGAGCAGUUUAAAUGUAGGAUCGGAGGCCUAUUGCAUACUUUAGCGAGAAGUUGAGUGGACCUGCUUUAAAUUAUCCUACAUAUGACAGAACUUUAUGCACUUAUUCGAGUUUUGGAAACUUGCCAACAUUAUUUAUGGCCGAAGGAGUUCGUAAUACACACCAAUCAUGAGUCACUAAAACACUUUCGGGGACAAGGUAAAUUGAACAAGAGGCAUGCACGGUAGAUGGAAUUCAUUGAGACCUUUCCAUACGUCAUUCGGUAUAAACAAGGUAAAGAAAAUGUGGUGGCGAAUGCGUUGUCGCGAAGGUACGUAUUGCUAACUACUCUUGAUUCUAAGCUACUUGGAUUUGAACAUAUUAAGGAAUUGUAUGAAAAAGAUGUUGAAUUUUCGGAUAUUUAUUUGUCAUGCAUAGAAGGGGCAGUUGAUAGGUUCUUUAGGUAUGAGGGGUAUUUAUUUCGGGAAAAUAGGUUAUGUGUUCCUAAUUGUUCUAUUCGGGAAUUGUUAGUAAGGGAGGCACAUAGUGGUGGAUUAAUGGGACACUUUGGGGUUCAAAAGAUUUUAAAUGUAUUGAAUGAGCAUUUUUAUUGGCCUAAGAUGAAAAGUGAUGUUGAGAGAAUUUGUAGUCGAUGCAUAGGUUGUAAAAAGGCUAAAUCUAAGGUUUUAUCACAAGGUUUGUAUACACCUUUACCUACACCUAGUGAGCCUUGAGUUGAUAUCUUGAUGAACUUUGUUUUAGAUUUACCUAGGACUAAGAGAGGUUGGGAUUCUAUUUUUGUGGUUGUAAAUAGGUUCAGCAAAAUGGCACAUUUUAUACCAUGUCACAAAACUGACGAUGCCACGAACAUUGCUGACUUAUUCUUUAAAGAGAUUGUGCGUUUACAUGGGGUUCCUAAAAGCAUAGUGUCAGAUCGGGAUGUCAAAUUUUUGAGUCACUUUUGAAGAGUUUUGUGGGGUAACUUAAGCACUAAGUUACUAUUUUCCACAACUUGUUACCCUUAAACGGAUGGACAAACCGAAGUAGUGAAUAAGACUAUGACACAAUUGUUACGCACAGUAAUCAAUAAAAAUUUGAAGAGUUGGGAGGAGUGUCUACCAUUUAUUGAAUUUGCAUACAAUUGAACUGUUCACUCUACUACGUCAUAUUCUCCAUUUGAAAUUAUAUAUGAUUUUAAUCCACUAACUCCUUUGGAUUUAAUUGUUUUACCUAUGAAUGAACGUGGUAGUUUAGAUGGCAAAAAGAAGGCGAAAUUGGUUAAGUCACUCCAUGAAAAGGUAAAAACGCAAAUUGAAAAUAAAAGUAAGUUGGUUGCGUCGCAGGCAAACAAAGAUAGGAAGCGCGUGACAUUCGAGCCAAAAGAUUGGGUUUGGGUGCACCUUAGGAAGGAGCGGUUUCCGGAGCAAAGGAAGUCCAAGUUGCAACCGAGGGGCGAUGGACCAUUUCAAGUGAUUGAAAAGAUAAACGACAAUACUUACAAGUUGGACCUUCCAGGUGAGUACAAUGUUUCGGCUACUUUUAUCUCUCUCUGUUUGAUGCAGGUUCAGAUUCGAGGACGAAUCCUUUUGAAAAGGGAGGGAAUGAUAUAAUCCAAGAGUCAAGCCCGACGAAGGCGAGUGCAAGACGAGAUCGUUUGAUAGUCGAUGGCGGACCAAUGACGCGAUCAAAGGCAAAGCAAGUGAAAUAAGCGAUGAGAUUGUUCGUUCAAGAAACCAUUGAUGGAACCAUGUUCGGGACUCAAAAUGGAGUAACUUUCAUGUUUGGGUCGAAGGGCGAAUAAACUUGAAUCAAUUUAAUAUCAAAGGCCGAAAACAGAGGAAAAUGAUAAGUCUAUGCGACCGCAUAGGCUUAUGAGGCUUGCGAUCGCAUGGAAGCAUACCGAAACUCAAGAUGAGAUUUUUAGUUGAACCAUGCGACUGCAUGAAAAUACACAUUGCAGUCGCAUAGGCCAUUUUUUUUGGCGAAUUUCCUAUUUUUGGUAUUUUUCCAUAUUUUGUUAGAUUUUGAUUCUUUUUCAUUCCUAAUUAUUCUAGGUAGACUUUUGCACGAUUUUUACCUAGUUUUUAGGUUUAGUAUAAGUAGGAGUUUUCAUUCAAUUGUUAAGAAACCUUUGACAUUUUGAUAUUGAAUUAAAAGUGAGGCAUAUUAUCUUCUCUUCAUCGUUCUUCAUUGAACAAUUUCGAACUUAUCAAGUAUUAAUUUGUGACGUUCAAAUAACCGGAUUUAAUUCUUGAAUUGCGUGAUCAAGGGGUCUUUCAAGCGUCGUUCUUGUUGGGUUUUUUGGUUCGACUUUCUUUUGGGUUAAUCCUAAACUUUUGGAUUAAUUUGGCUUUCUUGGGUUCGUCAAUCUCAUUGUGGGUUUUGUAGUCAACGUUGCUAUGGGGUUCGCAUCACAAACUACCUGAACUUCAUUUGGUACUUGCAUGCCUUCCAAAAACUCAAAACUUUGAAUGCUUCUAGUCUUUAUCAAGAAGUUUAUACUUUUAAUUAUGGACAACAUUGAGUUGGAGACUAAGAAGCUAGGCGGCACAACCGAGGUAGGUAGCAUCCAGAUGAGUUUGUCCUAAAGCUCAAAUCACAACAAUUUAAUAAAUAACUAGAAAAGGCAAGAAAAAUCAUAUUUUUGAUGUGGGUAUUUCAAACUUAUCAAGCAGUGUAUUGUAGUUGACCACAAGGGGCGACUAACAUUAUCGGGAUAGCUAAAUUUUGUUGUGGUCCAGAUGCAGUAGCAAGAGGGUUGUUCUGUUCAUGGUGUAUGGACCUCUCACAUUAGUGGGAUCACGUGAUAUCACUACCUCCUAUAUCACUUUUAGUAUAUUCAAAAUUUACUUCACAGCAUAAUCAUAUACAUUUAGCAUUUCAUGGUUUUACAAAUUAGCAGUUAUCUGUAUUUAAGCUAAUCGCAGAAUCCUGAAUUUAUUUUUUACCUGGGAGAACUAUCACGGAUUCCUCCUCAGCUAGCUUGCAACAGAAGUCCACAUCAUCCAUAAUCCCUUCCAGAAGGGACAGAUUAAGUUUUACCUGACACGAAAAAACUCCUAGCAGAUGAUUCCCCAUAUCAUUUCUAAGAUCAUAAGAAUAUCAAUUCUCAUGUCUUACCAUUACAAACAUGGAUCCUUCGGGCUUGCUUGGGCAAGUAAUGCAAUGGAUAUCCUUUAUUCGAUCAUAGCAUAGGUCUGCAGCUUCCUUAAGUGUAUUAACAAUUUUGGUGAAGAACUCGUUUGUCGUGUUUUUAAGAAUAUGAGGAAUUGCUCCCUGUUUACAUAAAAAAAAUAAAAUUUAUUUUCCAGAAAGUGUCACUCCCAAUGUUAUAAGUAAUCUACAGCUUUGUUUAUAAAAGCAGCAAAUUACUCUCAUCUCGUUUUAUACAAGACAGGACCACUGGUUUGGGAAUUUUACGUGGUUCCAUCUAUAAAGACUGGAACUGGAUCAAUUGGCAACUUUACAGAAAUUAAGCAAAUGCCAAAGCAAAACUGACAAGCGCAUUGUACAAACAGAAUAUAGCCACAAAAUAUCAUGCAAACACUUCGAAUAAUGCAAAAACAGAAACUAACAAACUAAGUUGCACGGGCAUGGACACAACAUGGAUACCCGAUUUUUCAAAAAAGUAGGGCACAAACACGUCAGGGACACGUUGACUUAAUUUCUUUAAAAUUUUGAAUCUAUAUAUUAUAUCUUUACUAUUAUAUAUACAUACGUUUUUAUAUAGGACAUGACACGCAUGCCAUAUUGGAUACUUGCCUGAGGGGUGUCUCUAAAGCAUCCCUUGAGCGUCAGUGACUUAAAACUAUAGAAAAUGGGACAACCAAGGAGUGUCUGUGCAUUAUUAACUAACAAAAACCAAAAUUAACACACAAUGGCCAAAAAUUUAAAAAAGAAAACGGAAAAAGGGCAAAAAAAAAAAAAAAAAAAAAAAAAAAAAAAAAAAAAAAGAUCCAUAACUAUGACAGUAUAAGAGAAACAUUGAAUGCGAAAGGAGAAGGUGGUCUACUCAUCGGCCAUGUGAUGCAAAGAAAAGAUCCAAAAAGUCAGGAUGAGGAAGAGAGUAGAGCAUGCAGAGAGAGGUUGAAGUAAAAUGUGAUUCUGAAGACUGAGGGGUUCAAUUUCUGGUUUCUACUACAGUAAUUAAGUGAUGGAUUCAUUGAAGGAGAAAGGAGGUGGUCUACACAUCGGCCAUUUGAUGCAAAGAAAAGAUCCAGAAAUCAAUAUGAGUAAAAGAUUAGAGCGUGCAGAGAGAGGCCGAAGUAAGAUGUGAUUCUGAAGACUGAGGGGUUCAAUUUCUGGUUUCUACUACAUUAAUUAAGUGACGGAUUCAGGACAAAGUUUCAAGGAAAAGAGAGAUUUCGGGAAACUCGACUUAAAAUCAAGAACUGGAUCAAAACUGUCCUACCUAGUGCGAUUUCAGUCAUUCAUAUACAAAAGCAAUGAGCCCAUAAAACUAGAGAAAGACAUUUCAAAUUGUCCUCAGUCAGUUGCAACUCAGUUAAUAAGACUUCUGAUUUUCAUAUGCUUAGAUGGGGCAGGAUACUCUCCAACACUGAUAUCUAUCAGCAACCUCCGGUCUUUUUCCAAGAUCACAUUGUAUAGAAACUUACUAUGUGCAUUAUUUCAUAUGAAUAUGAUGUUUAUGUACAAGUUGUUUGUUCAGUUGCCCCCAAGUAAUGCUAUGGCUGUCCAUUAUUGUGGUGAAAUCAUCUUGAUACCCCACUUACAUACAGUUUUGACGAAAAGAUGAAAGGUACAAGACCAACUCAUAAUCAUGUCACAUAUACUAGGAAAUUCCAUGGAUGCAAAAAAGCAUUUGAAAUAACAAAAGGAACACUUAGCAUAUACUGUUUUGAAGGGAAAAAAAAUAGAGAAGGCUUAAAGUGAACCUGAACAAAGGUUGCUGGAUCAGAGGAAAUAUUCAGAUAACCCUUGAUGCUAUCAACAAUCUGCACUUAUGAAAACACAAGUGGGUUUCAUGUGAGUCAUUAGAAUAUCUGUAUAAAUAAAAAGGUACACAGAAAUUAUACCGCUUAAAUUUAAAAGUUAAAAACAUGCAAACACCGACACAAUCAUAGUCAUUAAUAACUCGUGCUCGGCAGACCACUGAUGCCACAGAUUGAAAUGCUCCAAGCACUUGUUUUACCUGGUACAAUAUUGCAUCUACCAAACCAGCAGCUUACUACUAAUAGUGAUGAGGACAUCGAACGUUUACAUAUUUUAUUUAAGCUUUAUUUAUUUUUGGACUUGUAUGGGCUCAGGCCCAAUCUCGUUAGGGUUGCUUUACUAUUUAAACCUAUUUUGCAUUAUAAUUUUCAGUUGAUGAAUGAAUAAUAUUUUGGUAGCUUAUAGCGCAUUCCUCUCUUCCUAUUUUCUUUCUUCCCUUCUGUUGAGUCUCCGUCCCCUUUCUUCUCUCUAAUUCCCCCUCCCCAUAGAUCUAUUCUAAUUUGCAAUUAACUGUCCCGUUGGUGCUGUAUCAAAUUUGGUAUCAGAGCCGAACCUUGAGUAAUUUCUUUCCUACAAUUCAAAAUUUCUUUACUAAUGAUGGAGAGGUUCAGCGCUUCCUCGUUCGUUGGGUUGGUCGACCAGAUUCUGAUUGUACAUGGAUCUCCAGAGAGACACUACAACAAUUGUAUCCAAGAUUUAAUGGAAUUUUAUCGGAGUCAGCAGGAUCUUCGUUGGCCUAGAUUGCCUCCCGUUCACCCAAGGGGAGUUGGUGAGGACACCAGGUUCAGACCUCCACUGACACAUUUUUACAGACGCCGGAAGAAGCUUGCCCAACCACUCAACUUAUGGUUGGGAGAUUGACGAUAGCCUAUAAUAAUAUAUCCAUUCAAUAGGGUCGAGUUUUCUCCCACCCCAAAAGAGUUGAUGAGGAUAUCAGACGUUUACUUAUUUUAUUUAAACUUUAUUUAUUUUUGGACUAUUAUUUAAAAUUUGGACUUGUAUGGGCUCGGGCCCAACCUCGUUAGGGUUGCUUUACUAUUUAAACCUAUUUUACAUUGUAAUUUUCAGUUGAUGAAUGAAUAAUAUUUUGGUGGCUUAUGGCGCAUUCUUCUCUUCCUAUUUUCUUUCUUCCCUUCUGUUGAAUCCCUAUCCACUUUCUUCUCUCUAAUUCCCCCUCUCCAUAGAUCUAUUCUAAUUUGCAAUUAACUGUCCCGUUGGUGCUGUAUCAAAUUUGGUAUCAGAGCCGAACCUUGGGUAAUUUCUUUCCUAUAAUCCAAAAGUUCUUAUCUCUUCCCAAAAUUUGUUAGAACAACACAAUUGAAAUAGAUUUAGCGUAAAAGCAGCUUUUUUCACUUUUUAUUUUUAGUUCUCUGUCAUUCGAAAAAAAAAAUCGCGCUACUGUUCACAGGUACUGUUCGCACCUGAAAUUCCAAUUUAGAAUUUUUACAAUUAAAAAAAAAACAUUUAGAGAGAAAUUUCAUUCGCUGCUGCUGCUGCUAAAGUGUUGUUCUAACCCUAAUUCUCAAAUAUUGGCCCACAUACAAAACCAACCCAUAACCCCAAUCCCAAACUCACUCAGCCCGUAGCCCACUACCCAACUCCCAUUCAUCCAUUUUCAAAUCAUUAAUCCGUUUGGCCCAAUUAACCCUAGCCCAUUAUAUACGAACUCAAACCGGCCCACACAAACAAGACUCAAUCCAGGCAGCCCGAUUCUAACGCACAGGAUCCCGAACCCGGCCGGCCCAAAUUACCAAAAUACCCAAUCCAUAUUUCACAUAACCUAUUCUAACUCACCCUUACCUGGCCCACAUAAUUAACCCAAUGCUCCAACCUACCAAUUGUAAUUCACUCAACACACCACUAUCCACACAUCACAGUCCAAGCAACCGCCUAUUGCCGCCACACUUACAGUCCCCAACGUUUCCCUUUUCAUCCCUGCAGCCACCAAAUCACAUACUUAUCUCUACUGCACUUCAAUCGCGCCACACACACCAUAUUCACAAACCCACAGUCACCACAACCAGUUUCAAGCAGCUGUUCAAAGGAAUUCGUAGUAGUCAGAGGCAAUUUGUUGUGAAAUUGGAAUUACAAUCCAACAGGAGUGAAUUCUAAAGUUGAAGGCAAUUGAAGAAAGGGAUAGGGCACAAACAUCCCUGGGCCCCACACAUUAGCAAGUCAAUCCAGCCGGAAUACUGGAGUCACAACCGAACUGCAGGGAGUCACUUUUCUAUCUAUCUUUCGUUUAUACCAUUGCUUCCCUUUAAAAUUGCAUCAGUUACAAUAUUUGUGUUGCUGUCAUUUGAUAAAUUUAGCCUUACGCCUACUUGAUUGGGAUUCUCGAACUAACUCCCAUUGUUCCCUGAUUACCCCACAUAUUUAGACAUCUCGAGUAUCUCGAGUAGUCCAUUGUAUCCUUGCUUUAUAUUUUAUUUGCACCAGUAUUAUUAGCUUACACGUUCGGACUGCGUAAUCCCAUCUUUUAAAUAGCUAAAACAAAGAAUAAUAAUACUAAAACAAAAAAAAAAAAACAUUGCUAUUUCAUUGUUGAUACCAGUGUUUGUUGAUGUCAGUAGUGCACUUCACUUAGCUUGUGUUACCGUGUAUGCAAUUGCGUAAUGGUCGCGUUACUGCUUCUAGUUCUAGUACCCUUGCCAUGGAUCCUUCCCAAAUUGAAGUUCUCACCCGACAGUUGGCACAAUUACAAAAUCAAUUAACAACUGUUCAAACUAAGGUAGCCGCUACUUGUGAGGAGAAUAGAGCCCUAACCGCUAGGUUGAACACUCUUGACCCAACCCCAUACUCGACUUAAGCUGAAAACUCUGAAAUUUCAGUUAAUAGGCCUCAUCGUUGUCCACAAGGUGGUCGACACCACGCCAGACAUGAUCUUAGGGAGGGAAAUCAAGCUUGUGGACGAGAGCAGGAAUAUUACCGUCAUGGUACACUAUCUCUCCCUCGCCACGAGGAGCGCCUCUUUCGAAAUAUUAAACUAGAUGCCCCUACAUUUGAUGUUGUCCUGAUCCUAAUGUAUUCAAUCAAUGGGUUAGAGAUAUGGAUCGCUUCUUUGCCUGGUAUAGGGUCCUGGAAGAUUGGAGGGUACAAUUUGCCGGUUUGAAAUUAACUGGCACUACUCAACCCUUUUGGGAAAGUGUUGAGGACCUUCUGGAGAGGCGUCAUGCUCCCCCUGUUGGGAGUUGGGAUGAAAUGAAACGUCGCCUUCAAGAAAAAUAUUUACCUCAAUCUUAUAGGAGUAACUUGCUAAAUCAAUGAAACGCACUUACGUAAGGCAGUCGACUUGUGACCGAAUACGUUGCUCAGUUUGAUGAGUUUCAAAUGAGAGGUCAAGUCGUUGAGGAUGAGGUCAUGAUCUUGAGUAGGUUUAGGCAACGCCUAAGAGAUGAUCUUAGAUGUGAGCUUGUCCUUAGAGGCGUCACCACUCUUGACCACACCUACUCUUUCGUUCGGGAUUACGAGUUAGUGACUAGGACACCGUAUAGAAAUCGUGGUGACUCCCGCACUGCAACCUCUUCUGCAUCCACUCCAUCCCCUAAGUCUAUUCUAGGAUCUCCUCCUUCUAAUACUACCCCCACAUUGGAUAGCAAAGGUCGAGCUUCGAUGUUUCAAGAAUGUCCUCCCGUUUGCAAUGCUUCAACUGUAAAGGUUUUGGUCACAUUUCUUCUAAGUGUCCUAGCCAAGCCCUAGUUAUGGAAGAGCGUGAAGGUAUAGUCGACGAACCACUAGAGGACCAGGUUUAUGAGCCUAAGUUAGAAGAGUUUGAUGACUUGGAGGAUAGUGAAGAUACCUUCUUAGGUUGUAUUCAGGCUAGUCCCCUUAUUCCACAUACACCUAGAGUCGGUGUCGUCCAUUGCACUCUUCCCCAGCUUAGGGAUGCCGAUGAUUGGCGCCGUCAUGCCAUCUUCUACACUUACAUCAAGAUUAAUAACAAGGACUAUAAAGUUAUCGUAAAUAGUGGCAGCUGCAUUAAUGUGGUUUCGAUGGCUACUGUAUCCCGUCUAGGGUUGAAGUCUGUUCCUCACCCUCAGCCAUACAGCGUCUCUUGGGUUGACACCUCUUCUAUAGCUGUCAAGGAGCGUUGUUUAGUCCCUAUCCAAUUCCUCGAGUAUAAGGACCAUAUAUAGUGUGACGUCAUUUCAAUGGAUGUCGGGCACAUCAUCUAGGGACGACCUUGGUUAUUUGACCUAGAUGUAACCAUCUAUGGUCGAUCUAAUUCCUGCUCCUUCGUGUUUAAUAGAAAGAAGAUUCACCUUAACCUUCUGCCCCCAAAGCCUGUUGGCCCACUGGAAAUGAAGAAGAAUGUGGAACGAAAGGGAUUGCAUAUCAUUAGUCCUACGGAGUUUGAGCGUACACUUGUUGGUGACUCAAUUGUGUUCGCUUUGGUGGUCAUGGAAGUUUCAUCCCACUCCACAAUAGAGAACCCUGUUGAAGUCAGUCGAUCCUCCAAGAGUUUCGAGAUGUCUUUCCUGAGGACCUACCUGAUCAUCUACCUCCUCUAUGGGAUAUUCAACAUGCCAUAAAUUUUGUCUCAGAGGCAUCCCUUUCAAAUUUGCCUCAUUAUAUGAUGAAUCCUACCGAGCACGUUGAACUUCAAAGGCAAGUGGAUGACCUCCUUCACAAAUGAUUCACUCGUGAGAGUUUAAGCCCGUGUGCUGUCCCCGCCCUAUUGAUGCCCAAAAAGGAUGGUUCUUGGAGGAUGUGUGUGGAUAGUCGUGCGAUCAAUAGGAUCAUGGUGAAGUAUCGUUUUCCCAUUCCUAGAGUUGACGAUAUGUUAAGUAUGAUGGUUGGUGCCACAAUCUUUUCGAAAAUUGAUCUGAAGAGUGGAUACCAUCAGAUUCGAAUUCGCCCAAGCGAUGAGUGGAAGACUGCGUUUAAAACGAAAGAUGGAAUGGCUGGUCAUGCCUUUUGGGCUAAGUAAUGCGCAAAGUACCUUUAUGCGGGUAAUGACGCAAACUCUUCGACCUUUCAUGGGUAAGUUUCUUGUUGUCUACUUUGAUGAUAUCCUCAUCGUUAGUAAGACUAAGGAGCAACACCGUGACCACCUCACACAAAUUUGCUCUGCCCUUCGUGCAACCAAUCUGUAUGCUAACGUCAAGAAGUGCACUUUCUUCACCGAUACAGUUGUUUUUCUGGGGUUCAUUGUCUCUUCGACAGGAGUAUCUGCUAACCUUGCUAAGGUUCAAACGAUUAUUGAUUGGCCUGAGCCUAAAGCUAUUCAUGACGUCAGGAGCUUUCACAGUUUAGCUACAUUUUACCGUCGCUUUAUCAAGGGGUUUAGCACUAUUAUGACGCCUAUCACGGAGUGCAUGAAGAAAGGAGAAUUUCAUUGGACACAAGAGGCGGCUAAGGCCUUUAAGUUAGUCAAGAAGAGAAUGACGGAGGCUCCUAUUAUGCGUCUUCCCGACUUUUCCAAAGUCUUUGAAGUUGAAUGUGAUGCCUCCGGGGUAGGUAUAGGCGGAGUCUUGAGUCAGGAUCGUCAUCCUGUUGCCUACUUCAGUGAGAAGUUAAAUGAAGCCAAACAACGGUACUCAACUUAUGAUAAGGAACUGUAUGCGGUGGUCCAGGUUUUGCACUAUUGGCAUCACUAUUUGUUGCCCCAGGAAUUUGUCCUUUAUUCGAAUCACAAGGCCCUCCGUUACCUCAACUCCCAGAAACGAUUAAGCUCUAGGCAUGGUCGUUGAGUCGAAUAUUUGUAGGCCUACUCAUUUGUUUUAAAACACAAAAAGGGAGUGAAAAACUAAGCAGCUGAUGCAUUAAGUCGUCGUGUCUCCCUUUUGUCGAUCAUGAGUGUCAAGGUCAUCGGUUUUGAAAGGCUUAAGGAGGAUUACGAGGCAUGUCCCGAUUUUAAAGAUAUCUUUCUUGAUUUACAAAGGGGACAAUCAAACGCCACAAAUGGCUUCCGACUUGAGGAGGGUUAUCUCUUUAGAGUCAAUAAAUUGUGUAUCCCUCGAACUUCAUUGCGAGAUUUCAUAGUGUAGGAAGUUCAUGCGGGAGGGUUAGCCAAUCACUUUGGACGUGAUAAGACCAUAGAGGAAGUUGAACGCCAAUUCUAUUGGCCUAACUUGAAGAAAGACGUGGCUAAGAUUGUUAGUACUUGUAACACUUGUCAAUUGAGUAAACAGAAGAAGCUGAACACAGGCCUAUACACCCCUCUUCCCGUCCCCAAUUGUCCUUGGCAAGAUGUUAGUAUGGAUUUUGUAUUAGGCCUUCCACGCACCCCAAAGAAACAUGAUUCUAUUUUUGUGGUUGUCAACCGUUUUUCGAAAAUGGCUCAUUUUUUCCCCCUGUAGCAAAACCUCAUAUGCGUCUAAGGUGACUAUGUUGUUCUUUAAUGAGAUUGUUAAAUUGUAUGGGCUUCCUAAGACCAUUGUGUCCGAUAGGGAUGUUCGUUUUACUAGCCAUUUUUGGAGGACUUUGUGGCAAAAGAUGGGUACCAAAUUGAAAUUUUCUACUGCCUACCACUCUCAGACUGACGGUCAAACUGAAGUAGUUAAUCGAAGUCUUGGUAACCUCUUACGUUGUCUGGUCUGGGAGAAUUUUCGAAAUUGGGAUUUGAUCCUUCGUAUAGCUCAAAUUGCGUAUAAUAGCUCCAUAAAUCGUUCAUUAGGUAUGAGUCCAUUUGAAGCCGUUCAUGGGUACAAGCCUAGGAAACCGUUAGAUCUCAUCCCUAUGUCCCCACAGGCUAGAGUGUCAGCGUCAGUCGAAGCAUUUGCACAACAUCUUCGUGAUUUGCAUAUUGAGAUCAAUAAACAACUUGAAGCUAGUAAUGCAAAAUAUAAAUUUCAAGCUGAUUUGCAUAGACGACAUAUUGAGUUUAACGUUGUGGAUUACGUUAUGGUCCGCAUUAGGCUAGAGCGGCGUCUACAUGGACCCGCCUCCAAAUUGCAAGCUCGUAGUGCUAAUUCUUUUAAAAUUUUAAGCCAAGUUGGUCCAAAUGCCUAUGUUGUUGACAUUCCACCACAUUUUGGUUACCAUUAUACUUUCAAUGUUGAGGACCUAGUAGCUUAUAAAGGUCAUUUCAUUCCCUCAAAUGAUCCUUUGUUACCCCCUUUUGUGGACCUUGAUCCCGACUAUUUGGCCACUUCUAACCCACUACCACCUCUCACAGCACACACAGAUAAAAUUGAUGAUAUUUUAGAUGAAGAAACUGUGUUUACUAAUGAUGGAGAGGUUCAGCGCUUCCUUAUUCGUUGGGUUGGUCGACUAGAUUCUGAUUGUACAUGGAUCUCCAGAGAGACUACAGCAAUUGGAUCCAAAUUUAUUGGAGUUUUAUCGAAGUCAGCACAAUCUUCCUUGGCCUAGAUUGCCUCCCGUUCACCCAAGGGGAGUUGGUGAGGACACCAGGUUCAGACCUCCACUGACACAUUUUUACAGACGCCGGAAGAAGCUUGCCCAACCACUCAGCUUAUGGUUGGGAGAUUGACGAUAGCCUAUAGUGAUAUAUCCACUCGACAGGGUUGAGUUUUCUCCUACCCCGGGAGAGUUGAUAAGGAUAUCGGACGUUUACUUAUUUUAUUUAAACUUUAUUUAUUUUUGGACUAUUAUUUAAAAUUUGGACUUGUAUGGGCUCGGGCCCAAUCUCGUUAGGGUUGCUUUACUAUUUAAACCUAUUUUGCAUUGUAAUUUUUAGUUGAUGAAUGAAUAAUAUUUUGGUGGCUUAUGGCGCAUUCCUCUCUUCCUAUUUUCUUUCUUCCCUUCUAUUGAAUCCCCAUCCCCUUUCUUCUCUCUAAUUCCCCCUCCCCAUAGAUCUAUUCUAAUUUGCAAUUAACUGUCUCGUUGGUGCUGCAUCAAACAGUGUGUGAAUACUUUGACGUCGUCGGAAAGUCUAUCAUAUCAUUAGGAUAAAAAUAGCAUCACCUUUUUCCUUCAAUGAAAGAGAAACCCCAUACUCAUGAAACACCAAUCUUAGGAAAGGUUAUCUAAGUUAAAACUGAUUUAUCGGUUUAUUUCAUCUUCGUCGAUGAAGCUUUCUCUGCAAAUUAAAAUGUAGAAAUCUUGUAAUUCAGCAGUUGUUACAUCCCAUUUCAUAUUAGUCAAAGGUCAAUACUAUUUAUUGAAAGUAAAUGUUUGACUAGUCAAAGUCAAAUAAGAACUUAAAUGAAAUAAAUAAUUUUAGUGAGACUUAAUUGACCAAAAUUUUUUUGGGAGUUUAUUUUACAAAUUGACAACAUUAGAAGGUUUAAGAUGGGUAAAAUUUAAAUUUGGGGAAAUACUUAUUAAUUAUUAAAAGUUAGAUGACUUAAUAAGAUAUCAUGUGAAGCUUGGGGGACUUGAUAGCAAAUGGGUUGAGUGGUGGAUUACAAGUGGCACUUUGCAUGCCAUUUCUUCAUUAUUCAUAUUACAUACAUACACACAUGAAGGCUGAGGAACGAAUUGGGGCAGAAAUACUGAAAAAUCGGUAGAAAGAAAGGAAGAAAAUAAGAAGAAAAGAGAAGAAGGGGGGGGGGGGGGGGGGGGAAUUGGAAAAAGGAAGGAAGAAAAAAAUAGGAAAGUUCGCCUAUGUUGUUAGAAAAUAAGUGGUCUACACAAUUAGACUUAAAUUCCCCAAUUUUGGGUAAGUAAAAAGUUACUUAUUGUCAAAUUAUGUUUAAUUUUAUAGUUGUUACAUUAAAUUCAAUUUUAUUAAAGGGAUUAAGUAUAAUAAACUAUGAAAUCAAAUAAAAUGAAAGAAAAAUUAGUUUUAGUAAUUAAAGAGACCUUAAAAAUCGCUUAAACGUGAAAUAAUUAAGGUUGAAUAUCGUCUAUUUAAUUAAUGAAAUUACUUAAAAUAAUUAAUUGUUGGUUUAAAAAUUAUAUUAUAUUUCAGGUGGCGAUACGGACAUCGGGACAGGGUACCAUCCGAGUUGAUUUUGGUUUACAUAGUUCUGUGAGUGGAAAAAUAUAAAUAUUUUUAAAAUAUUUAUAAAUUAAGUAUAUUAUCAAAAUAUGUGCAAUUAUGUGUUCGAUUAUAUGAUUAUUAUGGAAAUCUCUUUUAUUAUGAUACAUGUGGAAUUUCAAGGAUUAUUUAUUGUACAUUUGUGACUUGAUAUAUGAGACAUGUGAUAUUGAGAUUUGUUUGGUAUGUGAGAUGUGAUAUUGAGAUCGGCCAGAAAAGUACCGGUGAUUAUGUAUUUCUAGUUCACAGAGGGGCCUUGGCCGUGUUCUAUACCACACUGAGGGAUCGAGUGGGGAUGAAGGGGUCGUGACCGUGUAUAUAUAAUUCACUGAUGGGCAUUGGCCGUGUUUUAGAAUUGAUUAAUAGAGGUCUUGAGACCCGCUUUCAUUCACGGGGGGGCUAAAGGCCCGUGGCGAAAGUCCUUAGCCCGAGGGACAGAUUACAAAUUUUAGUCAGAGGGUACAUUUUUUGUGAAUUUUCCAGUACAUUUGAUGUGAUGAGAUUAUAGCAUGAUUACUAGCUUAUAUUUAUAUCAUGACUUGAGAUGAUAUUUUACCAUGUUAUGUGAAUGUCUCACAUAUUGGUUAUAAUUAUAUAAUGUUAUCUUGCAAGUUAUCAAUGAUAUGAACUCGAUUUUCGAUAAAAAUGUAAAAAUGAAAAAGUAUAAUUAUUUUCGAACUUCUCCACUCACUGAGCUAUCAACUCAUAUAUUUUCCCGUAAUUUUCCUACAGAUGGAAAUUGAUUCUUUUUAACUAGGAGAGCUUAAUGAUUUCGGAAUGAGAGCCACACGACAUGUUGAAUAUUAUAACUCAUAUUAAUGAAGCACGAAAUAAAUAUUUUGGGCCCAUCGCAUUAUAUUUUACAUAAGCAUUUGAUUUUGUUGCAUUUUUUGAAAUAACUCACAGUCAGCCUUGGUGAUAGAUUUGACAUCUAGUCAGCAUCUAUCAUCGACGCACAUCACGUUUCGGGUCCACUAGGGUGAUUCGGGACUGAUCAUGUCAACAGUAAUAUUGAUAUAAGGUAAAAUAUCUAUCAGUUGCAACACAAUACAACAAGCAAUUUUCCAAUCCUAUGGGGGUGUAACAAUAUGCAUGUCUUCUAAGGGAGAGUCUCAAUUUAUCCAGCAUUACUGGCGAUAUGCAAGGCUUAUAAGUUAUAUCUCCUUCAGUUCCAGAUAUCAGAAACUUUAAGAGGACAUUAAGACAGACAGUACCUCCAGCUCAGACUCAUUCAAGCAAAUAAAGCCGUAGAUUGUUUGGGAUAUUGCAUAUGUAAUCAGUGCGUAAGUAUCUUGGGUUAAAAUUUUGUUGGAAAGUACCAUUGGAAAGAUCUUCAAAAAAGAAAUGGAUUCCUUUACCAAGUUAAAAUUCCAGGAAGGACUUCUAAGGGAUAUUAUUCAUUAUUUUAUGUGAUCGUGCAUCUUUGUAAUACUCUAUUACAAUCUAUUAAGCAUUGACAUGAGACCGGAGACGACAUGACACAAACAUGGUGACAGUGAUAUAUAAAAAUAGGAUUGGGCAUUUUGGCAACGCAUGACAAACCACAGCUCUUUUAUGAAUUCAGAAAUUGAAUUUCAAGAUUUGAUCAUUUGAUGAUAGAAACAUUUUAUUGAGAUUUAUUGAAUAGCAAUUCAUUAAUGUUGUGGGGGGGGGGAACCACUUUUAGAUGCAUUGCUGAAUUUCAGUCUUGCAAAGUAUGUUAUGCUUGAUAUGCAAAACUAGUAAACAACUAUAGUCAUGAAGAGAAGGAAUCUGGAAAUGGAGAGAUUACCCCCUGAUUCUUAAGGAUGCCAUUUGUAUCAUUAGUAAUAAGCCAACCAAGUCUCCAACCAGGAACAAUCCAUCUCUUUGAUAUAGAUCCAACUGUAACAAUAGGAGCAAUUGACCCAAAGAUUCCCAUUGGAACAAAAGGGUUAUUCCCAAAGGUGAGGUGAUCAUAAACUUCAUCAGAAAUUACUAAGAUUCCAAGCUUUCUUGCAGUCUCAGCAACCUAAGAGAUCACAUGAACAAUCGUUAAUAGAGUAACUAUAAGCUAAACGUUCAGUUAAAUAGUAUGUGAAUCCCGAUUGAACCAUGCAAUUAGGUACCUUCUUCAAGUGUUCAUAUGAAAAAACAUUCCCACAUGGAUUGCCUGGAUUGAUAAUGACCAUAGCAGCAGUAUUUUCAUCUGCAAGAGCUUCAACUGCAUCAAGAUCAACUUCCCAACCUCUUUCUGGAAUAAGAUUAAAAUGUCGGACUUCAAGAUGACAGAAUCCAGCCCUAGAUUCAUAAUAAGGGAAGCCUGGUCUUGGGAGCAGAAUGUUAGCAUUGGGGCGAGCAAGAACUUGUAAAAUGACUUCUAGUGCUUGAGUACAUCCAAUUGUCAGAUAUACAUCAUCCGGAGAUAACUUGUAUGGAAGAUCUUUUGAAAGAUAUUCUGCUAUUGCACUGUUCAGAAAAUAAUAGUUCCAGAUAGACCAUUAUGAACUGGAACAUAACCAACACACAAUACGUGUCUUGCGAAUUUUUUUAUAAAUAUGAGCUUGUUUAAUUUAAAAUAUGCAAAAAAAAGUAUGUAAUUUCUGUUCCUCUAAAUUUUUUAUUCUAUCAAGUAAUCAGUAGAGUGAAAUUAAACUCAAACUAUUCGAUUAUUAUUAUGAUUAUUAUUAUUAUUAUUAUUUUGACUAAAAAGCUCAAGUUCUUUUGUUCAACGUACAUAGAAAUCCAUUCAGUGUCUCAUAUAAUCAAUCAGGAAUUAGGCCAGUACAUUAAGAGAAAAUCACCAAUUGUGUACUUCUGAAAAACAAAAUUCAUCCUUAACUGUUCUAGACAUACGAGCACCUCCACCAUAAUUGACAACAUCUUCCCAAUGAAUGUAGAGUUCCAUGAUAAUCCAACAUUCAUCUUUGGACAGGUAAAAUUAGAAACUUGGUGCCAUCGCUUGGAAUGUUAUAUUAUUACAUACAGCAUCCUUUAUGUUUCAUCUACAAGCAAAACCCUCUUUUGGUUUCCAAAAAAUUGAAAUUAUUGGAAUCUCCCUCACAUUUUCCUAAUGAAAGUUGUUGAAUUUAAAAAUAUAUAUACAUGUUCCAACAGAACACGUCAAAGCAAUAAACUGAAAACUAGAAUAAAACACUCUUGUUUAUAGAAAAGAUAAAUUCCCGAUGAAAAUACAUGAUGGCUGCGUCCACCUAACUAUGCAUAGCAUUCGAUUAUACAUGAGUAAAAAGUAAAACUGAACAACACCAAAAAUUCACAAAAGUUUUCCCCCCAACGCAAACGUUUGUACUGACAUAUUUACAUGUUCAUACUCAACUAAAAUCAUUAAAGCUCAGAGCACCAGUUGAAAUUAAGUUUCCCAACUCUCCACCAAUGUGGGCAACAAAGAAUACGUACUAUUUAAAACACCAAUUACUCGAACAUGUUCAAAAGGGGUUCCAUCCCCAAGAUUGUCACUGAUUAUAAGAAAAAUUUGUUAAAAUUGUUGUUUUUGCUAAAAUUAACAAUUAACUCUCUAUUAUUUAAAUGCUGCUUACAAGAUUUCAAUAGAUGGUUUCAAGAUUGAGGAAAAAUCCCCCAGCCCUCAGUGAUAUAACUUGAUGAAUUGUGUGAAUUAUGCGAGAUGAUCAUAAACAAGCAGCAGUAACCUGGAGACUCCUAUCACACAAGGUACGACAUGGGCAUUGGAAAUUGACAAUAUGCACGCAUGCAUGUAUAGAUAAACUACCCAAAAUGAUUACUCAAUAGCUCUAAAAUAUCAAAAAUUGGAAAAACCCAAAAAAGUGAGUAGAAACGUGCACCUUCGAGCAGGCGGAAUACCAACGGUGGAGCCAUAACCGUUAUACUUGGCGGAGCGUACGGCGUCACAGACGGCGUCCACGGCCAAAGGCGUCGUUCGGAAACACGGGAAGGAAGAAGGGUCACCGUGUCCUAGAGGAAUAACCGGCCGGGAGUCUUCCGGUUUAAGAUUAUCCAUCAACGUGUUCAAUACACCUCUAAUGGUGAUUGCAGAGGCCUUGGUCAGUUCAUCGUUGCAGCCAAAACGCCACCGUAUCACUCCGCCGUUCUCCAUUGAUUUUUUUUCCCUCAAGCUUUUGGAAUCUUUUAUGGAUUGAAGCGGUGAAAUUGGAGCAACCACCAGCGAAAGAAGACAAAGUAGAAUGAGUUAAUGCAGAGGGCCUUUGAUGGCAAUUUCAAUUAAACCACUCUCGACUUUAAUUCGUCUUAAUUACGUCUUCAAACUUUGAUUUACUUUCCAUAUUUGUCCCAUUUAUGUCAUUAAAAUUUUAAUUUACAUUCCAUAUUAAUCAUUCUAUUAUAGCACUAUGUGAAAGUGAAUUUUGAUGCUAACUAACAUGCCUUAUAUUUUUAAGUAAUUAUGUAACAAAAUAAAUUGUAUUUAAGAGUCGAUAGUAAUUACACAUUUACACUUAUAAUGAAUUAAUGAUAGGUCUGUGUGUAUUUACAUAGAGAUCUAGGUCAAAGAAUGAUCGAGACAUCAAUUUAGUAAAAAUAGUUAACAAAAUGGCUAACACUAUAAUAAAUUGAUGUUUGAAAAAUUUUGAGAGAAAUAAAUUAAGUAUUGAAUUACCUAAUUGAGAUUUGACUGAAAGUUCAAUGACCAAACAUAAAAUUCCUCAAGAUCCUACGCAAAUAUGUCACAUAAUCACGUGAUGAUUGCAAAAUACGAAAAUAGAUCAAGUUUAAAAAAAAAUGAGGUAAUCAUUCGCUGGACAUACUCGAAGUUAUAUUCAAUGUGUUCAUCUUUAGUUUUAAGAUUUUACGGUCACGACAUGAUUGGAUGGCAUAUUUAUUGGCUAAUGAAGGAUUGGAACUUUAUGAUGGCUAACACUGAAAAUAAAUAGAAGUUAGGUGUUGUGAUUCUGACAAAUUAAAAUCAGGUGAUCUAUUUGAAAUUUUCAGUGAAAGUUCAAUGACCAAGAUGAAGAAGAGUUGACAUGAAUGAACCUAUCGUGCCCUCCAAGAAAAACAAGAUCAGCUUUAUCAUGUCCUUAAAAUAGUGUUCUACAUGCCUUACACGUGCCACAAAAUUAAAUUAAAUAAUUGAUAUUUAGGACUAGUGGUCCAAAAUAAAAUUAAAAUUUUGAUUAUUAAAAUAUUCAACCAUCUUCGAUGCACCAUUCAUGGUCUUUCCCUUGUCCAGUCUUCUAGUACUAAAGAACAUCAAAAGUUAUAGCCCUAUUUGCUUUCAUUCUUUCCUUGUUAAAAUGAAAAAUAUGAUCGUUAUUCAUUACAUCAAAUCAAAAAAUUUAAAUUUUUAUCUCUCGCGUGGAGCCCAUAACGAUUAUAUUUUUCAUUUUCAUUCUUACAAAAAUAGGAAACAAACGCCCCUAUAAUCUAUCAAAAAUCAAAAUUUGUGAGUCUUUCAUAUAUAUAUGGAUAGCAAUUUGAACUAUCAAAAUAAAAAAUCGCGAUUAACCGAAUCGAAUGAGAAAAAAACAAACCGAUGGUACAAUGUAACGGAUAUGGUAUUUGAUUUUAGUGACCCGAUUCGGGGCGGGGCAGGUAUGGUAUUUACGUCGUCGCCCUACCUCGAACCGCUUACCUAUUAGAAAAAAAAUUGGAUAAUUGGACUUUCCAUUAUUCUUUCUAUUAUAAUUUGUCUAGCCCAAAAUUUAUGGCCCAUUACCUACCCAUUAAGUAACUUAACCCAGUUACCACUUACUCACUAAGUACUAACCCUACAACAAAGAAAAUUGGAAUCAAAUUCAACAAGACAUUAGCCGACAGCCGUCUUCACUCGAGUCUCUGCAGUGCAUCCCCAAAUUCUUUUUUCUUCACACCGUAUUCUUUCUUGCUCGCUAUCGUCAUCCCCAUUCUCAAAGAGGAGGGUAUUGUUCUUCAUCUUCUCGUUUGCUAAUUGCUAUUGCUGUAAUCUGUAUCCAUUUUUAUUUUUGUUGAGUUUGAGUAUUUAGUCUGCCUAUAAAUAUUAAGUUUUAUUGUUGGAUGAACUCGAUGAUGUAUACUUUGAGUUUGAGAAUAAUCAAUGAAAAUGCAAGGAUAUGAGCAACUUAUUAAGCUGUUAAAUUCACUCUGCACCAGAUUGCAGGAAAAAUCUUUGGAAAUUUUACAGAGAAUUUUCAAAAUUGUUGAAUUUAAACAAAAGUAUGGAAAAUUUGCUCAAAUGUCAUUAGUGGAUAUCAUUCAGAGAGGAACAAGUAAUGCAAGAUCCUUGGUUGCCAAAAUUCUUUCUCAGUUGAAUAUUCUUCAUGAACAGUCUUCAUUUUUUUUUUUAUUGUGAUAUUGAAAUAAGGGUACAUAUUUUAUGUAGAUAUUGAAUUGAGAUAUUGUUUACUAUAUUAGCUUAGUAUUAUGUUUUUAUUUUCACUCACUUUUUUUUCAUAAUUUUUUUUUAAAAUUUGACGGCCAGAUCUAUAAAAAAUAAUUUAUUUUCAUAGUUAUUAAUGAGCCGAGCCGAGUUUGUGACGCCUUGAACUUAAGUUUCGAGUGUCACGUACUAAACAUAAUAGCUUAUGCCUUUGGUACAUGUAAAUACUCUUAAAUAGAAUUAUUACAUGUUAGAAACUUAUUUUCGACUUGGUAAAAUGUCUCUCAUAACUUUUAAUGGCCCGCAGAAGCGCAUGUCGACAAGAAAUUAUAUUUUACAUAUACGGACUCUGCACUGCCACGGUUAGUUGGGGCAGCAAGUUCGACUAUUUUUAUAAAAUUCAUCCCAACUCCGUUUUCUAUGAAAUUUAUGACAUUAGAAAGAUAUUUUCAAGUAUUUUUCUAGGUUAAAAUAUAAAAGUUUCCAAGAUCAUAUAAUAUGGGCGUUUUACUGAAAACAGUGAGGUAUUGCACAGAAAUUUCAGAUUUGACCCUUCAACGUUUAAAAAUUCAUAUCUCAGGCUACAGAUAUCCAAAUUGAGUUAUUCUUGUGCCCAUAUUUAGACAACUCAAUGAGGAACGCAGUAAUAUUUUCAUAGUUUCAAAUGGACGUUUAUGGAGUAAAAAAUAAUGUGUUGAAGUUAACCCAAAAACUGUCCCGUUUCUGCCUUUUGUCACUUGCAAGGAGAAGUUUUUUAAAAAAGGUCUAUUAACACAACAUAGAAGAUAUAAUUGCUUAAUUUACUUCCGGUACCAUAUUAAAUCAUGUCUCAUACAUGUUUUUAUACAAUACCAUACGAAAACAUAUGGAAAGCAGUCGGACAAAACAUGGAAAAACAAAACUUCGAUGCAAAACAACAUUGUCCUUAACCCAUCAUCGAUUAUGCCGACUGACUUCCACCAACUCCGCAAUUAUGAAUCUGAGAAUUUAGUAUAGAACACUAUGAGUAUAAAGAAUACUCAGUAAGAUACCAUGCUUGGAUUUUAUCAUGUUAAUACUACACAAAAGAAUGCAAUCAAACACAUACUUGCACAUUCCGGCUUGUCGGUGCCCUUCGGACUUGUCCUANNNNNNNNNNNNNNNNNNNNNNNNNNNNNNNNNNNNNNNNNNNNNNNNNNNNNNNNNNNNNNNNNNNNNNNNNNNNNACAUUCAUAUUAUGGUUUUUCAUGCAUAGCUUAAGCAUAAAUAUUACCAUGAAAUCAUAUCACUUAAGCAUAGAAAGUAUCUUACAAUAAAACUUGAAGAAAUCUUGGUUGAAAACGAAUUGAGAAAUGCUAGGUUGGUCCUCUUCUUCCCUCAUGUUUUCUGCCCUCUUAUAAACAAGUGUUAAGUUGUUUUUCAUGUAAGGGAAAUAAAGGGCAGCAACACAUCUAUUUAUAGGUGAAAAAAAUGAUAAAUUUUGGGUGACUCUUCAACCAAUUCUACACGUGGGCAGCAUGAAAGAAAACCUUAACUUCAAUUAAACACCUAUGCAUGCCUUUAGCCACCACAUGCUUAAGUUAAAACACCUCAUGCUUAAAUUGUUUCAUCAAUUUUCAGCCAAGUUGGAGAAACAAUGUUUAACUUUAGUAAUUAGGUGUAAAAUGGACAUUUAUCCCAAACCCCUAAUUAACAAAUUAUUUGGAAAAUUUUUUAAUAAAUCAACCAAUGCAAAAUUUGGCAACCAUAAAUAAUUUUUUGGUCAUGCUAAAUUUUGAAAAGUUAAAUUGCUAUUCUAAAAAUUAAAUGAGCACAAAAUUCGGAUUAUUACAUCCUUCCUCCCUUAUAAAAAUUUCGUCCUCGAAAUUACCUUGAACUUAGUUGAAAAGUUCUGGAUACUUAAUCUUGAUUUCCUCUUCUCUUUCCCAAGUUGACUCUUUGACAUUAUGGUUUCUCCACUGAACUCUCAUUAACGGAAUUUCCUUUGUCCUCAGUUGUUGGAUUCCGCGAUCCAAUAUUGCUACUGGUUUUUCCUCAUAAGUCAUGUUUUGUUUGAUAUCCAAUGGUUGAUAACUAACCACGUGACUUUGAUCUGACACAUAUUGUCGAAGCAUUGACACGUGGAACACAUCAUAAAUUGCUGACAAAUCUGGUGGUAGAGCGAUUCGAUAGGCUGCAUUUCCAACUUUCUGCAAAAUUUCAAAAGGACCUACGAAUCUUGGUCGAAGUUUUCCUUUCUUUCCAAAGCGAAGAGCUCCCUUCAUCGGUGCCACUUUUAAGAAAACUUUAUCACCAACAUUAAAUGCCAAAUCUUUUCUCCUUUUAUCGGCAUAACUUUUUUGUCGGUUCUGGGCUGCCUUGAUUCUAGCUCUUAUUUUAUCAACCGCUCGACUAGUUUCCUCAAUUAUUUCGAGUCCUAAAACUCUUCGUUCACCUACUUCAUCCCAAUAGAGGGGAGCUCUACAUCUUCUGCCGAAUCGUUAGAGCCGCUAUCCUAAGUGUUGGUCGAAUCGUUAGAGCCGCUAUCCUGGUGAUAGUUUGGGUUGGUGGAACAAUUACUUCUAGAUGUAAGUUUUCGAAAUCCUUUAACAAUUGGUCCUGCAUAGUGAUUAGUACUGCUAAUUGUCCAAUCGCCUUUCUGCUAAGAGCAUCUGCUACUACAUUAGCUUUACCAGGGUGGUAAAGGAUAGUGCAAUCAUAAUCAUUUACUAGCUCUAGCCAUCUCCUCUGCCUCAUAUUUAAUUCUUUUUAAGUGAAAAAGUACUUCAAACUCUUAUGAUCAGUAUAAAUGUCACACUUAUUUCCAUAUAAGUAAUGACGCCAUAUCUUGAGGGCAUGAACUACCGCAGUCAAUUCUAGAUCAUGGAUUGGGUAGUUUUGCUCAUAUUGUUUCAAUUGUCUAGAAGCGUAAGCUAUCACCUUUCCUUUCUGCAUCAGAACACAUCCUAUGCCCUGUUUCGAAGCAUCAUUGUAUAUAACGAAUCCUUCUGAUCCGUCAGGUAUUGUUAACACUGAAGUUGUGACUAAUCUUCGUUUCAGCUCUUGGAAGCUCUGUUCACAUUUCUCUGUCCAUUGAAAUUUUUUCCCUUUUUGAGUCAACUGGGUCAAUGGUCCUGCUAUUUUAGAAAAUCCCUCGAUAAAUCUUCUAUAGUAACCAGCCAAUCCCAAGAAACUACAUGUUUCUCUAACAUUGGUUGGUCUUACCCAAUUAUUUACUGCUUCCAUUUUAGUUGAGUCUACUUCAAUUUCUCGUGCUGUGAUUACGUGCCCCAAAAAACCUAUUUUAUCCAACCAGAAUUCACAUUUCUUGAAUUUGGCAUAAAGCUUCUCUUUUCUUAGAGUUUCCAAGACAAUCGUGAGAUAUUUCUCGUGUUCCUCAUUACUCUUCGAAUAGAUUAAGAUGUCAUCAAUGAAAACUAUAACAAAUUGGUCUAAGUAUUCACGGAAUACUCUAUUCAUUAGAUCCAUAAAUACUGCCGGGGCAUUAGUUAGUCCAAAAUGCAUUACCAAAAAUUCAUAAUGACCAUAACGCGUCCUAAAAGCCGUCUUAGGGAUAUCAUCUGACUUAAUUUUCAAUUGGUGAUAUCCUGAUCUUAGAUCGAUCUUUGAAAAUAUUGUAGCCCCCUUAAGCGGGUCAAACAAAUCUUCUAUUCUUGGAAGUGAAUAUUUGUUUUUAAUAGUGAGGCGAUUCAAUUCUCGAUAGUCAAUGCACAGCCUCAUAGUUCCAUCUUUCUUUUUCACAAAUAGUACAGGUGCACCCCAAGGUGAUACACUUGGUCUAAUGAAACCCUUAUCAAGAAGCUCCUUCAACUGUACCUUCAACUCUUGCAGUUCCAACGGUGCCAUACGAUAUGGAGCCUUUGAAAUAGGUGUUGCUCCCGGUACUAAAUCGAUGGUAAACUCUACUUACCUGUCUGGUGGUACACCUAGAAGGUCUUCUGGAAAAACAUCUUUAUAGUGCCGAACUAUUUGAACAUCCUCAAUUGACAACUUAUCUUGGUUAAUAUUGGUUAUCGAUACUAGAAAUCUUUGACCUAAUUCCUUUCUUAGCGUCCUUUCAACCUGAGUUGUUGACACUAUACAAGACGAGGUAUUUGCCUUAGUUCCCACAAAACGAAACUCUUCCUCNCCCAGUCUUCGAAAAACCACCAUUCUCUCGGUACAAUGAAUAGUUGCAUAGUUUUUAGACAACCAGUCCAUACCAAGGAUAACAUUAAAGUCUUUUAUCGUUAAUGGAAUUAGAUCUACCGCUAUAUCUCUACCAUCAAUUCCCAUCUUAAGAUCUCUAGCUAUUUGGUUAGCAACAAGUAUCUUUCCAGAUGGAAGAGAUAUUUCUAAGGUAUACGUAAGGAAUUCACAUUCCACUUUAGACUUUGUAACAAACGAAGAAGAAAUGAACGAAUGUGUAGCUCCAGAAUCUAUAAGUACAAAUGCAGGCAUAUUGGAAACAGAGAUGAUACCUGCGAGUACAUUAGGGUCUCGUUCUGCUUCUUGCCUGGAUAAAGAGAAAACUCUUGCUCUUCCUUUCUUGUCAUCUCUAGCCUUCUGUGUCUGAUUUUGGGGGCAUUCUUUAGCGAAAUGUCCUGAUUUCCCACACUUGAAACAAACAUUUUUUCCCAAUAGACAUUCUCCUUUGUGAGGUUUAUCGCACUUAGGACAACGCUUAUCACCACCCACUCCUACUAUCUCCGUCUUUCCUUUCUUUGGUGCAUUAUUCCCUUUUCCUUUACCAUUAUUCUGUCUAUCAAAGUUCCACUUCCUCUUACUUGAGAAAUUUUGAACUUGGUAAGAAUUUCCAACGUUUUGAGUUCUUUGAUAAGAAAUAGUCUGGGCUCACUUCAGGACUUCUCGAUAAGUACUCAACUCAAGAACUGACACUAUGUCACGAAUAUAAGGUUGAAGCCCACGUUCAAAUCUUCUAGCCCGCUUUUCCUCCGUAUCCACUAGAUGUGGAGCAAACCUUGAUAAUUCCUCAAAUUUGCGUUCAUAUUCUACGAGGGUCAUGGUUCCCUGUUGGAGUCUGAGGAACUCCAUCUCCAUUUAAUCUUUCACAGCUGCAAAGAAGAAUUUUUCUUCUACGAGUUCCUUAAACCUCACCCAAGUUAUAGCCUGUUCUUCAGCAGGUCUUAAUGACCUGGUAGUCAUGUCCCACCAAUGGCUAGCCCCCUUCUUCAACAUAAACACUGAAAAUGUUACCCUUUCAGCAUCUUCGUAUCUUAUAAAUUUAAAGAUACGUUCUAGUUCUCGUAACCAAUCCUCAACUGCUAAGAGAUCCAUACUCCCUUCGAACAAUGGAGGGUUCAUUUUACAAAACUGCUCUAUAAUUGCAGUUCGAUCCCUCGAGUUAGGUACUAUUUGAGGUUGAAUAGCUGGUUGGUUGGGCUCCUGAUGAUCAAUUGGUACUUGUUGAUCUAGUGUUCGUUGUCCAGUCAAAGGUGGUGCUUGUUGUUGCUGUCCUAAUUCCCGUAUUACAGCAAGCAGUUCUCGUGCAAAGUUUACUGCAGUAACCUCGCCACCACUAGAACUAGCAUUAGCAUUGCCACCGCCUAAGUUCAUAUUGGAAUUUGGUGCACUGUCAUGGUUGCGCUUUAGAGGCAUUUCCUUUGAAUGAAAAAUAUUCAUCCAGUCAGAAUUACUUCAGAACGUAAUACUAACUUUAGAAAAAAAAUCCAAAGGCCAAGGCAACUUUCCUUCAUAUAUAUACAUUAUUAUUUUUCACAAACAAAAGUCAUAUUGAGGUACGGUACAUACAUUCAAAAGUAGAUGUACGUAUUACAUUAUAUUCUAUUCCAAAAACAAAGAUAGCUAGNNNNNNNNNNNNNNNNNNNNNNNNNNNNNNNNNNNNNNNNNNNNNNNNNNNNNNNNNNNNNNNNNNNNNNNNNNNNNNNNNNNNNNNNNNNNNNNNNNNNNNNNNNNNNNNNNNNNNNNNNNNNNNNNNNNNNNNNNNNNNNNNNNNNNNNNNNNNNNNNNNUGACCAUAGCACAAUCUCAUUUAUGACUGAGACCCAAGGUUCUAGAACAGUUUCAUAUAACCUCCGUAUCUUCACCUUAUCCCUUAAGCUAUGGUGUAUCUCCCAUAACAUCUCAAUAAUACAGUCUAGCAGAUCAAGAUGUUGUUCAAGGCUAUGGAGCGGAUGCAUACAAUAAUUAUAGUAAAAUGCCAAUAAUAUGUCCCGCUUCUUCGCAAAACCAUAAACUUCUGUCCUUGUGGGGGUUCUUACCGUUCGUGCUAUAACUAGGACAAAAAUUGAUUAUGUUACUCUACAGGGCUCUAAUAAAUAUUUAGAUAUAAGUGUUUAUGACUUCAUAAUCUCAACCAUGACUUGAUUCAAAAUAUUCCUAUAUCCAGCCAUAGAUAUAGCAGUUCAUUGCAUAAGAAAACUCAUAAACUUAAAAAAAAAGGUUUUUACCUUGAUCGUCGAUUGAAAGUCAGUUGCUAGCUUGCUCGAUAAUGAAGGACAAGAACUUUCUUAAAAAAAAGUCUACAAAAAAAUAUAACUGCUCUGAUACCACGCUGUGACGCCUCGAACUUAAGUUUCGAGCGUCACAUAUUAAACAUAAUAGAUUCUGCCUUUGGUACAUGUAAAUAUUCUUAAAUAGAAGUAUUACAUGUUAGAAACUUAUUUUCAACUUGGUAAAAUGUCUCUCAUAAAUUUUUAAUGGCCCGCAGAAGCGCAUGUCGACAAGAAAUUAUACUUUACAUAUACGGAUUCUGCACUGCCACGGUUAGUUGGGGCAGCAAGUUCUACUAUUUUUAUAAAAUUCAUCCCAACUCCGUUUUCUAUGAAAUUUAUGACAUUAGAAAGAUAUUUUCAAGUAUUUUUCUAGGUUAAAAUAUAAAAGUUUCCAAGAUCAUAUAAUAUGGGCGUUUUACUGAAAACAGUGAGGUAUUGUACAAAAAUUCUAGAUUUGACCCUUCAACGUUUAAAAAUUCAUAUCUCAGGCUACAGUUAUCCAAAUUGAGUUAUUCUUGUGCCCAUAUUUAGAAAACUCAAUGAGGAACGCAGUAGUAUUUUUAGAGUCUCAAAUGGACAUUUAUAGAGUAAAAAAUAAUGUGUUGAAGUUGAUCCAAAAACUGUCCCGUUUCUGCCUUUUGUCACGUGCAAGGAGAAGUUUUUUAAAAAAUGUCUAUUAACACAACAUAGAAGAUAUAAUUGCUUAAUUUACUUCCAGUACCAUAUUAAAUCAUGUCUCAUACAUGUUUUUAUACAAUACCAUACGAAAACAUAUGGAAAGCAGUCGGACAAAACAUGCAAAAACAAAACUUCGAUGCAAAACAACCUUGUCCUUAACCCAUCAUCGAUUAUGCCGACUGACUUCCACCACCUCCGCAAUUAUGAAUCUGAGAAUUUAGUAUAGAACACUAUGAGUAUAAAGAAUACUCAGUAAGAUAUCAUGCUUGAAUUUUAUCAUGUUAAUACUACACAAAAGAAUGCAAUCAAACACAUACUUGCACAUUCCGGCUUGCUGAUGCCCUUCGAACUUGUCCUAAGGCAUAAAUAGAUAUCUUAACUUUGUGGACUUGUCCACCACAUUCAUAUUAUGGUUUUUCAUGCAUAGCUUAAACAUAAAUAUUACCAUGAAAUCAUACCACUUAAGUAUAGAAAGUAUCUUACAAUAAAACUUGAAGAAAUCUUGGUUGAAAACGAAUUGAGAAAUGCUGGGUUGGUCCUCUUCUUCCCUCAUGUUUUCUGCCCUCUUAUAAACAAGUGUUAAGUUGUUUUUCAUGUAAGGGAAAUAAAGGGCAGCAACACAUCUAUUUAUAGGUGAAAAAAUGAUAAAUUUUGGGUGACUCUUCAACCAAUUCUACACUUGGGCAGUAUGCAAGAAAACCUUUACUUCAAUUAAACACCUAUGCAUGCCUUUAGCCACCACAUGCUUAAGUUAAAACAUCUCAUGCAUGCCUUAGCCACCACAUGCUUAAGUUAAAACAUUAAAACACCUCAUGCAUGCCUUAGCCACCACAUGCUUAAGUUAAAACAUUAAAACACCUCAUGCAUGCCUUAGCCACCACAUGCUUAAGUUAAAACAUCUCAAGCUUAAAUUGUUUCAUCAAUUUUCGGCAAAGUUGGAGAAACAAUGUUUAACUUUAGUAAUUAGGUGUAAAAUGGACAUUUAUCCCAAACCCCUAAUUAACAAAUUAUUUGGAAAAACUUUUAAUAAAUCAACCAAUGCAAAAUUUGGCAACUAUAAAUAAUUUUUUGGUCAUGCUAAAUUUUGAAAAGUUAAAUUGCUAUUCUAAAAAUUAAAUGAGCACAAAAUUCGGAUUAUUACAGAGUUGAUUUACGUGGUUAUGGUGCGGUUAUGGUAUGAUAAAAAAAAUUGGUGAUUCGAUGAUGAUUUUGACCGAACUGAUCCUGAACCGAAUCGUUGCCAACCCUAUUCAUAUACGUGGUUCUUGAAACUUCCCAAGGAAAAAUCAAGAAUGGCUUCUCCAUGCUUGUCCAUCAUGUAUAAUAAAACAAAAAUUAGAAUCUUUAUAAAGAAAAUUUACUGCGCUACUAUCUUCUAAGCAUCGAUGCUUGACGUGGCAUGCUAGCCUGGCAUAAGUUAGCAUUGAUGAUUAGCAGAUCAAUUUCGAAGAAACAAAUUAUGGGCUUGUUUUAUAGUGAUUAUGAGAAUUUAUUUUUUAACGAUUAGAGAGAAAAGCAGGUUCCACCUGGAGAGAAGAAGUAAAAAAUGACGGUUGACUUAAGAAAGUAACGAUUAAAACCUUGAUUUUUUGGGGUAACAUGCAUUAUAAUUCAGAAAAUAUGGCAAAAUCUAAUUCAAACAAACUGAUAACCCGCCACUAAAAUCAAUUCCUAAUUUUAUGCGGAUUUCAAGAAAAAUUGAAGUCGUCUUUCCGUUUUAGAUAGAGCAGAGUUUAACUAUUUUAUUUUUACCUAAUAACAGCUUGUGCUGCUUAGUCAGGCAGGAGAUGAGGAGCUUGUUAAAAUUUUCAGGCUGUGUUAAUUAUGUGAAAUGUACAGAAAAUUCUGAAUGCUCUGGGAAGAUGGUAUCAUGGUGACUGUAGUUAUAACAUAUCUUUGGAGCCAUGGCAGUUUCUUUGGCAUGGCUGCAAAUUUGUUAUUUCUGUUUUUGUUUUGCUGAGAAUGAAUAGAGAAAAAUAGGUUUUAUUAGAGGGUACAUAAUUUAGGGAAAAAUAUAAUAAUUCAAGAAUUGAGUAGUAAGAUUGCAAAGACAAAAGGGAAGAAACUAGGCAAGUAAAAUUUACUACCUAGCUUGGUGAAGAAGUAUGCAUGCACGAGAUAAUCAUAUGAAUGAAUCCCACAAUAGAAGGCAUGUCAAUAAACGUUAAUAUUAUCACUAAAUGACCAAAUAGAAUAUAAUCCAAAAUAAAGAAUCAAAUUACUUGUACAAAAAUGUUUUGACAGAUUUUUUGAUAGAUGAUGAGAUGACAUGCGCCUCAAUCCUUGAUUUGAAAUUUAUGAAGUUCAAAUUAAGACAGCAUCUGUCAAAGAAACUGUCAAAAAAAAAAAAAAUUUGCAAAUAGCAUGGUUGCAAAAUAAAAGUGGUGAGACGACACAUGAUACAGGCUUUUUCUUUAUAUCUUCAUAUACUGGGAAUCCCUCAACCUCCCAGGAGAGUAUAGUGCAAAUUACACUCUUAAAAUAAUUUUAGUAUGCUUCAAAAGUAUAUAAAAAUGUUGAGUUUUUUUUUUUUUCUAAAAUAUCUUUUUUUUUAUUACGUGAUUACUCUGUAUAUAUAAGUUGUAGAUGGUAUCGCAUGAUUUAUUUAUUUAUUUUUUUAAACCUAUUUUCAAAUCAAACCAUUUAAAAGGCUCACAAUUAGGCCAAGUUUGGGAUUACAAAAAAAGAUGGGCAAAUGUGACCUGUAAGGUUGGCAAAAUGCCCGUGCUCUUGCACAACUGAGAAAUCAAGGCAAAAGCGGGAAAUGCGAUCUAUAUUUUGAAUCUUAUUUUUUAUUUUAUUAAUAUAAUUUUAAACUUAAUUCACAUUAAAUAUAAAUAAAUAAAAGGAACGAAAAUAAAAUAUUUCAACCACUUUCUCACCCGUCCCCCGAAAAUCUCCAACUACGUGAAGGAUGAAAAGGGCCUUGCCUUGGUUCCAUGAUGCCAUCCCUAAAGAAAUUGGUCCAUAGCCACCAUGAUAAGGGAUAAUUCUUGUAACGACCCGAACCUCUCGCCCAAAUCGUUAGCUUACGUACUGUCCGUUUUGGGUGGGUCUUGCGCCCACUUACCCUUCACGGCUUUUUGUCGCGUCCUCCAGGAUUCGAACUCAUAACAUUUCCCUUAAGUAAGACUUAAGUCGAAUCCUGGUUACGUAAGCUAACGACUUGGGCGAGAGGUCCGGGUCAUUAAAAAAAACGCGUGUUUCUUUUUUGUAAUGACCUGGACUAUAACAUUUCCUUUAAAUGAGAUUUAAAUUGAAUCUUGAUACCAAUUGGGCACUUGAGCUAAAGGUCCGAGUCGUUAGAAAAAAAAAACACUCCCAAACCGUUAGUUUACGUACUAUCCGCUUUGGAUGGGCCUUGCGACAUAAAGCCGUGAGGGAUAAGUGGGCGCAAGACCCACCCAAAGCGGACAUACGUAAGCUAACGACUUGAGCGAGAGGUCUAAGUUGUUACAAUUCUCACAUCGAAUAAAGACGAUAACAUAGACCAAUUCAUAACUCUUUUUAAUAAGGUUUGAUAUUUUAAAAUGAAACCUCAAAUCUUUAUAUUGUAUUAGAGUACACUAAACUCAAAAGAGGACUAAGACUCAAAAAAAUAGGCACGUAGAUUUCAAGAUUGAUUUGCUCAAACGAGCCACUAUCUUGUGAGGGCAUCUUAAGGGAUAAUUCUCAUAUCAAAUAAAUAUGAUAACAUAAAGCAAUUUACUUGAGAAAUUGAAGGAAUGCAUUUGUUGGGUCCAAAGGGUAUAAAGAGUGAAUAGAUAGAGUUAUUCUUUGACCUAACGAAAGAACUGAAAAGACCAUACAUGGUGUUUGAUUAAUAAAACGCUUUCUCUGUAUUAUGAUAUAUCUUAUUGGUUGGUGCAGGCAAUAAGAUCAUUAGGGAAAUGAGGGUUUUCCAUUUCUCGUUGCUUUAUCGUAAAAAAAGAUCCUCUUCAAAACUCAAAACGGAGGGUUAGAUAAUCAAGAGAGCACCAUUGUGUUCCACAAGGAUAAUGCAAUACCAACUGUGAAAGCUCUAACAUUCGAUAGAUCUGGCACCUUUAUGGUCGAUGUUCAAUGAGAUCUGUAUAGUGUCACACUGGUCAAGUCCUCAACAAUCUUAAAGAAGGUUCCAGGUUCGAAUCGCUUCCUUUGCAUCACUUUUGGUAAAAAUUGUUGAAUUAGAAAAUUUGCAAUACAAAUUGCUUUGGAAGUGUUUCGGACCCAUGAGCUCUAAUUUGAUUACGAUAGCUCCAACCAACUCAGCUAUGUAGAUGUUCAUACAUAAAAUGAAUUAUCAUUUAUGCCCCUAUUUGGUUAUCAUUUUUUUCUCAUUAAAAUAAAAAAUAUGAUCGUUAUUCAUCAUAUCAAGUCACCAAAUUUGAAUUUCUAUCUCUUGUGUGAGGCCCCGUAACGACUAUAUUUUUCAUUCUCAUUCUUCCAAAAAUGAGAAACAAACGGGGGUUAUAUAAGAUAAUUAAUUUAGCUGUUGUACAACAAAAAAAAUUUGUUCUCGGUGGAUCUAGCUAGGGCGGCCACCCUAGCCAGCCAAUACUUGCAUAUGCCACUGGACCAAGAAAGAUCAGCACUUAUAUGGUAAUCUAUUCGUUCGUUUGAAAAUCUUUUUAAAAUAAAUUCAACAUUUUCACUUUAGAACCCUAGAAAUUAUUUAAUCAAUGCACUGGCCUAAAAUUUGAUCUUUGUUCUAAUAGUUGUAUUAAUACACUAAGAGACGUCAAAUUUAUUAUUAUUUUAUAUAUUAAUAUGUACCGAUACUAUGAUUUGAGAUUUUCAAAUGAUGUUCAUUGAUCUUUGACAUAUGAUUGUAUGCUGUAUAAAGAAAAGUCCAUCCUGGUGUGGCCAUAAAACAUUGAGUGCAGGAUGUCAUUUAAGGAAAUCCAACACAUUUAACACACUGGCAUUACCUUUAAAAUAACCUAAUUCGUGCAUUGCAAGGGCAAAUGACUAGUAUAUUAAUAUAUCACAUUAAGAGAGAAUCAUUUUUUUGGACGAUUUUAGGGUCUAUUGGGGAGGGAUUUUUUAUCCCAAAAAAUUAAUUUUUUGAACGUUAUUUUACUAUUCCAACCGUAAUUUUUGACUUCUUCUUUCACAUGUGGACUUCACUUUUCUUCUAACGGUCAAAAAAUCAAUUCUCAAAAUCCCUCCCAAACGAGACCUUAAUCUUCAUACAAUUCAAUUAUUUCAAUAAUACCUUAUUUUUCGUUUUUUGAUAUGUAAUAAAUACUACAUAAUUAUUUUCAUUUAUGAAAUUUGUGUUAUUGAUUCUCAAUUAAUUAACAUUCACAUUAAUCUAGAUUAAAUGGAUUUUCACUUGAUGAAUCUUGAAUUACAUAAAUAUAGAGUCAUUAUAGAUGAAUUUAUUCAUAUUCAUGUAUCUAAAAAUUUUCAUAGAUGUUUUUAAUUUAUGUAUUAAUAAGUAAUUUUUAUGUAUCAAAUGUAAUAUAAAAAGAUUGCUUAUUUAUAGUAAUUUAGUUAUUAUAAAAAAUUUGAAUCAUAGAAAUUAAGUUUUAAGAGUACGAUUUUCUUCUCUUAAAUUUCUAUGCUAAAAUUUAUUUUUUUUAAUUUGUUCGAGACUUAUCAAAUCCUCCAACAAAUUAGUACCAAAUUUUAAUAUUACAUCACUUAAAAAGUAUUUUAAAAUAACAUGCAAUGUACAUUCAACUUUGAUUAAUGUGAGAAACAUUAAAGAAAGAAGUGAUGUUCGUUUAAAAUUUUACGAUAACCGUGAACAAGGAACGAAAAUAAUUUUCUUUUUGGAUCAACCUUUAUUUCUCUACCGAACGCACUCUAUUAGAAUCUUAACGGUUCGCAAAAGAUAAGGAAAAGAAAGUGACGCACGACACUGGUUUGUUAGGCAGACGCGUAGAUUUGGAGCCAUUAACGUUUAAUAAAUUGUCGGAUAAAGCGAGGGAGAGACAAAUGCGAUACCUCUUUUUAUUACAAUAAUAAUAGUAUUGUCAGUAAUACUACUAAACUAAAUAGUCGGCGGCCGGCUGGCUGGUUCUAUGUCUGUGCUGUGCCGUAUACGUAUGUUUGAACAACUCCUACCCUACUUAUAGUUUACGUUAAAAACUAGGAUUCUAUAUUAAUUUGUACCAAGUUUAAUUAAUGUCUAACAUCACGCUAAGGUAUUUAAAGUUAUUGAGCCGAGCAUAUUAUUGUUAAAAAUUAAUAUGUCCUCGUGUGAUGCAUUAAAAUUGCAUCCGAUUUUCAAUGAAGGUAACUACUUGGUAAUGAAAAGACCAUGCCCUCGUUUGGCCAAUUGAUUUUCAUUCCAUUACAUUUCAUUUUUCUCUCUCCUCUUUUCAACCACACAAUCUUCCAUAAAAUAAUAUUACACGUUAAUCGAAAUUUUUUCUUUCUUAUUCAAACACUCAUUUUUCGAAAAAAUACCAUUUUACCCAUUUUCAUUUUCACAAAAUGGAGGCCAUAUAAAAUUAGAAUCACACGAGAUUUUCAUGUGACUUACAAAACCAUCCACUACUAAACAUUUAUCUUUAAGUUUUGAAAUUUCAUUAUUGAAUUUAGAGAAAACUUCUAUUACAAGCGUUCAGAGUAAUUAUAUAAUAGAUUUUAUAACUUGCACUAUCUAUCUUCAUUAAGCGCUUAUUUGGUAGAAAUUUUGUUAAUUAAUUUUUUUAUAGUUAGAAAUAAAUUGGGUCCUACCUGUAAGAGAAGAAUUCAAAAAUGACGAUUAAAAUAGUGAAAUAAUGGUCAAAAAAUUAAUUUUAAUUGGAUUAAAAAUAUUACCAAACAUGAUCCAAGUAAAAUAACUAGAUUUAUGGAUUUAACAACCUCAUUCUUGAAAAUAUAAAUGAUACUAAACUAAGUUAUUACAAAGAUUGAAAAAUCUAGCCCAAUUUUCUCUAAAACAUUUUAAUGAAGUAUCGUAUCCAUUAUAGAAGGUCAAUUUGGCCUUAAUCAUGUACAAUUAAUUAAUAGACCCUUUUGGUGAGGAUUGCAAUUUUUUUUUAAUAAAAAUUGGAAGAAUAUACUGUUAAAAUAAAUUGUACAGCUCAUGAAAUAUACUGUUAAAAUAAAUUGUUGAUUUAAGUCAAAUUAAAUUUUUAAUUAUAAUUCCUCACCAAACAGAGGCAGUGUGAAACCGAACCCAUAAAGGUCACACGGUGCAGUGUGCGAGGAAUAUGGGGCGAAAUAACACAGUUGCCGGCGCAUCGACGCCCUAAACGCGCCACGUGCCCCUAUUUCAGGCCCACAACCCACGAUUCUCAAUACACUACGCGCAGCCACGCAAUUUAUCUCUCUUCACUUGGGCGGCGCCCCUAGUCAAACCCCCCUCGUUGAAUCCACUUUCUCUCUCCUCUAUCCUCUCUCCUAUAUAUCCACUUCCAUUUUCUCUCAAUCUGUAACCCAUUUUCACCACUAAAAAUUUUCUCUUCAGUUUCACAGCAAUUUGAGUGAGAUUUUAAGAAUUCUUCAUGGCGGCGAAGGAGAAGACAAAUAAGGCUGUUAAUGGAGUUAAGGAUAAGGCUAAUAAGGCUUUUAAUGGCGUUAAGGAGGUGCACUACAGGGGCGUGAGGAAGAGGCCUUGGGGCCGUUACGCGGCGGAGAUUCGAGAUCCCGGGAAGAAGAGCCGUGUAUGGUUGGGAACGUUCGACACGGCGGAGGAGGCGGCUCGUGCAUACGACGCCGCCGCUCGUGAGUUCCGUGGGUCUAAAGCUAAAACUAACUUCCCUUUACCUUCGGAUGUCCACAGCCCUAGCCAGAGCAGCACCGUGGAGUCAUCAAGCGUCAUAGCAAUCAAUACUCAACCGCCGGUUGAGCUUGACCUCACGCGCCUCCUUGGAGUAAAUUCCACCGCUACUGCUGUGAAUGGGUAUCAGUUUUUUCAUUACCAGCCAGCCAUGGCGGUUUCGCCCACUGGACGUCCGGUUCUGUACUUCGAUCCUCCGCCAGAAUACCGGCUGAAUACGGCGGCGGUUCACUUUCCCAAGAGCGGCGACGGCGGCGCUCAGAGUGAUUCUGAUUCUUCUUCUGUUGUUGAUGAGAAUCAGAUAUAUACAAAGAGAGUUUUGGAUUUUGAUCUUAAUCUACCACCUGCCAUGGAUGAAGCUUGAAUCUUCACAGUGAAAGAGACUGACUUUUGAUUGUAAAUACAUAAAAAUAUUAUUGUGUUUUUAAUUAUCAGAGACUUCUAAUUUCUCUGAUUGUUUAUCACAAUUGUAAUCGGCAAUUAGGGCUUCUGAUUCAAUGCAAUAUUUAAAUUAACUUGCUUUUGGUUAUAUUCUGGAGUUAUAGUUUUGUCCGUUUACUUAUGUGUUUAAAAGUGAAGAAAAUUAAUAUAAUUAAAAAGAUCAUGAAUCAAUAAUCAUACUUCUUAAUUUUAGCUUGCCAAUUGCCAUUCUCAUAAGAGUCAAAGUCUCCGUAUAUGAAACAUAAAAUAAAUUAUUACAAAAAAUAAUAAUAAAUAAAUGCAGUAAUGGACCAGUAGAGAUAUAUUGUUCUUGUCCGGCUAUUUCCUCAUUUUUCACCUACAAAAUUUUGACGAUAUAACAUCUAGGUUGAAAAUAUUAAAUUUCGUGCGUUUGAUAUGAAUUUACAUAUUUCACUCAACUUUUCUAGGAGGAUACUUUCAGGAUUAGAAUUCAAAACAAAGAAAUCAGCUAGUCGAGAGCCCUCUUCAAAUUUAAUCAACUUAAAAUUCUUGAUUCAAUAAACUACAUAAAAGAAUAUAGAAACAUCAUAUCAAUAUGGCCUAAAAUAACCUAAAGUACCAUUCUCAUUUUACAUUACUUUUGAAAUAAAAUAUUUUCAUUUACAAUUAAAAGAUUAUGUGUCAUUGUUAGAAUUAGGUGAGACUAUGGUUAAAUUAUAUAAUUAGCCCCUGUUUGAUGGUAUUAUUUAAGUCUAAAUAAUAUUUUGAACAGUAAUUUUUAGAAAAAUAUGUGAUUUAAUUUACGUAUAAAAUAUUUUAUUUUGUAAAUAUGUGAUUAAAAAUAAAUAUGUAAAAAAAAUUCAAAUAAUAAUCGUCAAACGGGACUAAACCUCGAUUUAGAUCGAAUAAUAGAAGAGAAAAAUAAAAAUUUAAUUAGGCAAUGAAAGCAUUAUUGUGGUCAAAGAGUAAAAGCAAAGAAAAUCAAGUGUACUCAAUGUCACCGACAGCAUCCUAAACAUGGGUCCCAUCGUUAAAAAAACCGUGUUUUUUUGGUACAUGUUGUGACUACGGUGGAGGGCACGUGUUACUACUUUAUUAGUUAAUACUUUGCCGUCCAUUGAAUCCACCAAAUAUAUUUACUAUUUUUCUAAUGUAUAUCUUAAAGCGCGUAGGAGAUGGUGCGGCGACACCGCGGUGGGCCCACGGUGGAGACUUGGGGUGCCACCGGCAGCCUCUUUUGGUGGGGCCAUCUAUAGCUGCAGGGGAAUAUGUGCGGACUUUGGAUUUCUUCUGCACUCACUGAACCUUGAAUAAAAUUUAAGGCUAUGUUUGGUUUGAUUACAAAUUAAUAAAAUAUGUAGUUCAAAACUUGAUUAAAUUCCGAAGAAAAAUAAAUUUUAAGAAAUUAAUAACAAACAGGGACUAACUUACUUCACUUCUCGAUAAAGUUAGUGAACUUCAUUUUAAUUUCAAAUGUUAAAAUUUCAUCAAAUAUCUUCAUUCAAGAUGACGUAAAUUGUUUAAUUGAAUUAGGGUUGGCAACGGUUCUGUUCGGCAAAAAUCAUCAUCGAAUCACUAAUUUUUUGGUCAUAUCAUAACCGCACCAUACCCACGUAAGUCGAUUCAGUUCGUUUCAGACAUUAAUAGCCACGAAUAAAGGCAAAUCCAGAAUUUCGACCCAACUAAGAUGGUCGUUGAUCAUUAACCGUCAACAGUCAAUAACCGUAUAGCGAUGUCAUUUAUUAAUUUCAAAUUAAAUAACAUUAAAAAUUAUUCUAUCUAUAUGUAGAUAUACUAAAUCGUAAAAAUCGUAUAUUCAUAUUAAAUUACAGUACAAUACAAUCCAAAAUAACAUAGAAUAAAUGCAUUAUACAUGAGACUUAUUUGUGUUAUCAAUGCUUAAUAAAUUAUUUGCUUGAUUAGAAGUAGUUAUGAGCAGGGGCGGAGCCAGGAUUUAUAUUCAGUGUGGGCAUCAUUUUUCAAAUUCGAACUUCGAGGUUUUGGUGGAACAAUGUGUACAGCAUUGCAUUUAUUAAAUGCGUCUACAAAUACAUAUAGUAUCCAAAAUCCUCCUUUUUGCUAUUCUAAACAAGACAGCUCAGGUCAUCCUCUAACAAAAUGCUGGAUAAGUAGUCAUGCUAUGUCCAUUUCUUUCUAAUGAAACGUGUUAUGAAAUAUCUGGGCCAUAUGGGACAUUUUAGAAAAGUAUCCUACUCGCUUAUCACAUUUCAAAAUGCAAAAAUAUUAAUCACCCAGCUCCAUAACAGAAAAAGACAUACCAGUAAGACAUGAUCGCUGGUUGAUCAACAAUGCUUUCACCGCCUCCAAAGGAUGGAGCUAUAUAUGGAAUCUUUAGUGCAUCAACAAAUUUUGCAGUUCUCUAUAGAUCUCUAUCAACCUAAUCAAAAUUCAAAAUGUUAAAGUUUCAGAGAAAUUGUCAGAACAGAAAUAUAUAUUGGAAUUUAGUUCAGUAAUUUAACACUAACCUCAAAACUAACCACACCACCAAAACCAUUCAUUUGCUUCUUUGCAAUGUGAUGUUCUGGAUGACUUGUCAAGCCCGAAUAAUAUACGUGCCUAAUCUGCAAUUCAUGAAUGCGAGAUGGUACUUAUUCCAGUAUAAAAACUUGCUCCGUUUGUCACUAUAUUUGAGACCAAGAUUCAUUAAACUGAACAACCACGUUGCUACCUAACACAGUACGACAUUACUUGAAAACACAUCAUGAGUCACAAGCUAUAUCUAAUUGUCUAUUAAUGCUCAAAGAUACUAUGAGAUUAGGAUUCUGAAGCAUGAUUGAGUACUUUACAUAUAAUUAGUAUUACCCAGAUAUUAUCAAUAAUCUCACCAGUUAACUGAAAUCACUUGUUUUGCUUAAAUUUUGUUCGUAAAAGAACAUUGUCCACAAAUUUUGUUCGGAAAAGAACAUUGGCAUUGUUAAACAUGCCUUCCUUCAAAGAAACUACAAUAAACUGCAGCAAAAAGAAAGGUAGAUUAAUGAUAGAUGCUAUUCUGAUAUAAAUGAUUGAUUAACGAUGACACACAAUUUUCUCGAAAUCCAUUAGCUUUCUUGAAUGAAAAUCUGAUUCCAUUACCUCUGAGACAAAUGUAUCUAAUAUCCAUAGGAGUGUUGAUAAGUUUGGACACCCUAAUUCAAGUUUAGAGAACAUAUCAAUCACUUUUUUCUCUAAAACAGAGCUUAAGCAACUAAGCAAGAAUGUCAUCAUCCCAUUAUACACUAAUACACAACACAAGUAUAUAUUAUAACAAGAAAUAGUCCAGAAAUCCUUUUUGUCUCACUGAAAAUUCCCAAUUGGAAAUCACAGAACAGCAGGCACGAUUUGGGUAUAUGUGUUUUUCAUAUAGUGUGAAAUUGAAAAUUAAAUCGAAAUCGAAAUCACCUUCUUCGUUCUUCUGGGCUCCGGCUGCUUCGGGCUUCUCCAAUCUCCACUCUCCAGUGAAUCAGUGAUUCAGUAUCAGUAUGACACUUCUUCUUUUGUUGGGCAGCUUGGACUGGCAGGCGGUGGCCGCGGCAGCUGGCGGUGGACUGGAACUACAUUCUAGAAGUCGGCGACUUCGAGCUGGAGUGGCGACUGGCGAGAUUGUGAGAAGCAGGCGAUGGGUCGAACGGUCGAGAGAGAGAGAGAGACGAUUCAAGCUCAAGUCAACCAAGGGUUCGGUUUUGAUUUGAACGAAACCGGGUCCGGGUCAGUAAACGGGCAUGGACUGUAGGCAAUUGGGCUUUUUUCAUUGAUCCAGGCUUUAUCCAAAAAAAAAAUUAAUUUGGGCCUAGUGGAGCCCAAAAGGUCAGUGCGGGCAUCUGCCCGCACUGGACCUAAUGGGGCUCCACCCCUGGUUAUGGGAUUAGAUGCACCACUAUAAAAACUAGGUUGGGACAUCGAUUGAAAAAAAAUUCCACAAUCUAUAUUAUAAUUAAAAUUACUUUUCAAAAUAUAAUUAAAGGUUCAAUUUUCAAUUUCCAAACCACUUUAUCACAAAUCAUAAAUUUCCCAAUUUCUCAUUUCCAAUUUUCACAUAUCACAUACUCACAUUUCACAAUACUCAAAUUAAUUUUUAAUAUCACAAUUCACAAUUGAUACAUUUUCAAAAUCUCAUCUACCACACAAAUAAAUAAAAAACACAAUACUAAGUUAAUUUAGCAAAUAAUAUCCCAAAUGAAAUUGCAAACAAUAUCCCAAUUCUCAAAUAAAAAAUUCGAAUUUAAUAAACAAUAUCAUCAAUAUAACAAUACUAAACAAUAUCGUUAUCCAUUAAUCCUUAUGCAUCGAACUUGAUUCCUACUCAAUAACUUAAAAGCUCCAACCUCAAUUCAUAUUCAAUCUUCUUUGAUAGAAAGAAUAAUCUCACAUCUUGUUGGCAACUGCAAUAUGUGGGUUCAAUUCCUGAGACAUGAAAUUGGACUUCUUGUAGGCGCAGUGUACAGACAGCUCUUAUUCCUUGGCCUGUUGGGACACAUCCCGCGAUUUACCUCCCUCACAAAACUCUAGGGACCAGGAGGUGGGGGCCCUCAAGGUUGGGGUUCAACCUUUAAGAAUAAUGGAAACCUAAUUGCCCAAUUAUUAUUUUUUUAAUAGGUACUUUAAAAAAAAUAAAAAUUAACGGGCAAUAGUUUUGGGGCAGGUCAACGGCGUAAAUACCAUACCCUGCCCGCCCAAAUUGGGUAAUUAAAAUCAAAUAUUAUACCUACCUCAUUGCACUAUCAGCUCGAUUUUUUUCGCUCCGUUCGACUUGGUCAACCGUGAUUUUCGAUUUUGACGGUUCGAAUUGCCAUCCCUUAUUGAUAGUCAUACAAUAAAUGUCUAAUUUAUCAAAUGCAACUUUUAGUAAGAAAACGGUAAAAUCAAGGUUGUGACAAUAUUGGAUUAAAAGGUUAAAAUGUGUAUUUAUUUCAUUUUAACACUUUUUGAUAUAGUGCGUCUUUUUGUGGUGGCACCGGAAAUCUGUUCAUCAAUUUGAAAGAAAACCUAUUAUAGAGUUUUAAAAUUAAAGAUUAAAUUGAAGUUUAGUGAUCAGUUGAAUAAAUUGAUAUCAAGUGACUUAAUGGAGUCAAAUUAAAUUUUAUUGACUUAAUUUAAAAUUCAAUGAAAGCUCUACUUUUGACUUAGCCGCCCCAUGCCGGAUUAAGGUUCCGUCCCCGUUUGACCUCCAUUUUCUAGAAAAGAAAAUGAGUGGAAUAGUAUAUAUUUUAUUUUUUUUGAAAAAUGAAUGUUUGGAAAAAGGAAAAAAAUUUCGAUUUACAUGUAAUACUAUUUUAUGAAAGAUUGUGAUUGAAAAUAUGAGAGAGAAAAAUAAAAUGUAAUGUAAUGAAACGUAUGUUCAUCAUUCUUCUUUGAUAAAGUUUAAGUCUAUUUUUAAUUUUAAUUGGAACGUAUGUCAUUGCUCAUUCUUAAAGUAAUUUGAGAGAGCAAUGAUAGCUUAUAAUCUCAAUUUAGAUAGUCUUAAUGUGACAUUAAAUAAUAGAUUAAAUGGAAUAUGAAAUUAAAUGAUUUAUUUUAUCUAAUCUAUCAUUUAAUGUCACCUAAACUGAGGUUAUAAUCACAAUGGGACUAAAUAACAUUUAAUUCAGUUUGAAACAGUAAAAACAAAUAAAUUAAAAAGACUAAACCAACUAAUUAGGUGCAAAAUGGACAACAUAGUUUGGUUGUUCAACUUGUCUCCUAUUAAAUUAAAUUUUAUUUUUGUCUCUCCUAUUUUUGAUUACACUAUCUUCCAUAAAAUAAUAUUAUACGUAAUUUUUUUUUUCAAUAACUCAUUUUUCAAAAAAACACUAUUCCACCCAUUUUAAUUUGCAAAAAUUGGGCCAAACGGGGGCUAAAACUUAUUCAACUAUCGAAGCAAGAAGAUUGAACAUUUUAAAACAAAAAAUAGUAAGCGUUCGACUUUCCAUGUUGCACUUGCUGAAAACAUCUACUUAGAUUACCAUCGAUCUAGGACCUUUUUUAAUAGAGGACAUUAUGUGUAGUGAUGGCUAUAUAUAUCCCAAUAACAAAGAAAUCUAAUUUGAAUGAUCCUGUUGUUUCGCGCAUGUUAAUCGCUAACAAUUAAAAGGGAUCAGACGAUUGUGUAAGGGACAAACCUCUUGAGACAAAAUUCCAAAAAGGAGUGUUCUUUAUUGGCGAUGAUUUUACAAUUGGAAAUUAAAAACAGAAUGCCUCCAAGGGGCGCAAGCACACGAGUUACUGAAAGAAAUGUUUAAAUCUAAACUAAGGAAUUUAAAAUUACAUGUUCUCUGUUCGAGAGUUUUUGAUUCGGUCCUUUUCCUCUAUGUCUUUUCUUCCUUUUAUACUCCCUGGAUGAUCUCUUUGUGAUCAACCGCCUAAAAACUGUUUGAUCGUUCUACAACUGUCCACUUUCCUCGUAAUGACCAACUUGUCAUGGAACUGCGUUUUUUAACUACUGCCAUUACUUUUCGUCGUUCAACCGUUUUCGAUUGAAUUCCUUGAAUCGUGGAACGUGAUAGAGCUGCUUUAAUAACUGCUUUGAUAACUGCACUUCUUGAUAACCACAACACUUUAUGUUUGCUAAAACCUUGGGCGACUCGAAGGUUUGGGCGAUAUAGAGUCACAGCUCUGGGCGACUGCAUGGCACUCCAUUCGCUCAAAUUCUGGGCGACUUGCAAACUUGGGCGAUGGUGUUACCGCGUUCUUGGGCCUCCCUAUUUGGGCCUUCAUCUUGAAUUGUUUGAUUGGGCUUCGUUCUUUGGGCUAUCAAAUUUGGAGAUUUUCCAAUUGAGUUUCAUUCCUUGGACCGUUCGAUUUGAGCUGAAUUUUUAUGUGUCAACAAUUACCCCCCAAUAUGGCAAAAUUAAUACCAAUUAUUAAAUUUUGCCAUAUUCACUUUUUGUUUCCAGCAACAUUCGAAAUUCCCAAGAAUUUCAAUCAUUGUUUUCUUCCAUAGAUUGAAAAGGUACGAUGUUUUGCAAACCCUUAUAACCCCCAGACACGUCAUUUCACUGCACCAAUAAAUCACGCCUCACUUUUUCGCAUUUCUCUCCCACGAUUUACUGUUCAUCUUUUUGCUUCCUUGCUACGUAACUCUGAAAAAACUCCGUUUCAUCCCUAAUGACUACUUCACAAUCUCAAUCUGGCGACUCCUUUAGUUUUGAUGACUUUCAGAAACUUCUGAGUCGUCCAUACAUAACUCCGAACUUUCUCGCGCCUGCCAAUGUCGAACUCAAUGAGUUCUACCUUGUUCAUUUCUUCAACAAUGCAGAGGCAGUCGAACAGGCGGCGGUGGGCCAGCUGUUUCCUUGUACUCAAGGCCCUCCAUUUCUAAACUCUUUGCCGCUGGGGCCACUUCGCAAAAGAGGUAUUCGCACUUGGCCCAAAUCUGACGUAGUUUUCCGUAGGUGGCAUGCUCGCCUUGUGGACCAUGGUCCUACAAAGGCACUUUUUGAUAAUGCUAGGAUUUCUGAUUUGUUAGAAAUCUCUAUUCAACCCCCUACUUUUGAUUCAGCACUUUUUUCGAUCGCUCUAAGUUUUUGAUCUUCUGAAUAUAAUACCUUUGUUCCCUCUUGGCCCCAUGUCUAUUACUUUAAGGGAUGUUGGGGCCUUAGUGAAUCUACCACCUUUGGGCGAUCCCAUUUUUCCUGGUAUCUUUAUUUUUGGUGGCGUCCCAAAGUUUGGUAAAAAUUACACCGAGUCUUAUUCAAGCCUGCAAGCCCUUCAUAACCAUUCGAGCGCUGAGCCUUCCCAUACUGAGUGAGUGACCUUUCUUCUGGUUUGGCUUUGUAAAUAUGUUUUAUGUGUGCCAAGUAUAAAGCCCUCCCUGAGUUAUUUACCCAUAACGCACGAAUUGGCGCGUGGCAGGCCUUUGAAUUUAUGUUCUUUCUUUUUGCCUGCCCUUUAUAGAGGCACGACUUCUCUUCAAACUCAAUUGAAGAAUGGUGCAUCUCGCACUGGUAGUGGACCUCUUUGGUUCACUCAACUGUGGUUGAGAUCCUAUUUUCCAUUUCUUGGUGCUCCAUCAAUUUCUCGUUCUUCUGCUAGCUACUAUGGGCUAGCCAUUGAGCCAUUGGCUCCUGUAAAUAUGCUUAGAAGGGACAUUUUUUCAUCCUUUUAUUCUUUGAAUUCAAUCCCUUACUUCUUUCCUUUUCUUCCUUUUUUGACUCCAAACUAUGUGCAUCCUCCCUCCACUAUAGACAGCGCAAGCACCUCUCUGCUCAUUUGGAUCCAGUUUUUAACUGGGAGGGAGUUAUUUCAUGAUAUUUUAACUGGGACCAAUGCCAAGGCAAGGGUAGAAAUAUAUGCUCCCCAAUUUUUUGCUCGCCAACUUGGUUUCGGCCAAACUUGGCCUGUUCCUCCUUGCUUUCAAGGAACUUGAUUGACCUCUUCCAUAUUAUUAAUAAGGCGAAGGCAUAGGCUAUAAAUGCUCGCAAUCUUCUUUUAACAAGCUAUUUUUCAUUAGCCCCCUUCAAUUCUAGCCACGCCAUCCAUCCAUUUUUUGAACAGCUCUGGCCGUCAGUGAAGCGCAAAUUGUUUGCGACUGAUGCCAAUAGUGCCUUUCAUUCACUGGACCAGCCGAGCAUUUCUUUCCCUCCUCCUAUUUUAGUCACUCUUUUGUCUAUCCGGAGUCCUUCUCCUCCUCGUCGCGCUAAACAGUCUGCUCGUCCAUCUUCUUCUCUCCCUGCCAAACCUACUGCAGCCAAGAGUACCCCAAGCCGCAAACGGCCAGCCUCAGCAUCUCCCAUUCUGGAGGAUAAUGUUGAUGAUGAUGAUACCCUUCUUAUUAUCAGGAGGAAGGUAAUUAAAUUGGUUUACUCACAAGCAUACUUUUCCAUAUUUGAAACUUUUCUGUGUGCUGAUGAUUUAUUUGGACUUCUCAAAAAAGUUCAGCCUCUCCUUUAAAGGCUUUGGUAUCAACAGCUCCUGCUCCAUCAUCCUCCGCUGAGGCUGCUUCAUCUGAACCAGUUGAUGAAGGGACUACGCUUAAAGAGACAUCUUCAGUCCCAGAAUCCUCAUCACAACCAAUGGAUGAGCCACCUUCUUCCCAGGGCGUCAACCCCGUAAACAUCGAAGCAGAAGGUAAUUCAGUUUUUUGAUACUUUACCUUUGCUUGUGCUAUUUGGUUUCUGAUUUGUUGCUUUUGAGUUUUGCAGAUGCUCCUAUGAGUCUGCCCGUUGUGGCAACAUCUUCUCGCUCAGACAAGGGGAAGUCAUCACGAAUGGUGGAGUCUCAGGUGGCAGACUUGGCUGAGGAUAUGCCAUCUUCCACGAUUAUUGAUGAGGUAAUCUUUGCUUCACUUUUAUUUCCAUCUUGUUGAUUGUAGUGAGAAUCUUCAAUAUUGACAAUUUUCUUUGCAGGAUGCUGACAAGAUUGUGCGUUCCAUCCAAGACUUGUUCAAUUCCUGGGGGCAAGUCAAGACAUCUCGCCCUGCUCCAUCUGGCCGUUCUGCUACUUCUUCAGAGGAAGAUUUGAAGUUCCUCAAGCAGUCGAUUUUUGAGUACGUGUCUUUCAUGGAUAUGGACGUUGGUAAGGCUAGUGCUGCCAGACACAAGGAUAAGCUUGAGCAUUUGAAUGCAAAGUUGAAGCAAGCACUGACACUUCGGUCGCUCAAUCUUUCUGCCGAUUUUAAAGCGACGUUGAAAGUUAUCUAUUCCGAGGUCCUCUCCUUUCUGGCCAAGAAUGCUGAACUAAAGGCCAAAAGUACUCAAUAUCUUCGCGCCGUAUUUGAAAAAGAGUCUUUGCAUCUGGAAAUCAACAAGGCUGAUGAUGAGUUGAAAGAAAUCUCUUCCGAAGUCAUGAUUGAAGACUCUUUGAUGGUUAGUUUGGCUGCUCAGAUGAAGGAAUUCAGGCCAAAAUGGACGACUGCAAGGUGAGAAUGGCUGCUAAAAAGCGCAACCCCUCCCAAGGAAUUGAGCUAACUAAGUCUUUGGUCGAGUAGUACAAGAAGUUGGAAGUUGAUGAUGAUGUCUUGGCUGAAUUGAACAUCACUUCCUCUCGGCAGAACAAGGAUUGGGAAAAAUUUAGGGAAUGAAUUCGUUCAGUAUGGAGUGCAUUAUAAUUAAGACAUAUGACGCCUUAACUUUUCUUUUUGUAAUUUCGCAUUUGACUUUCCUUUUGUAACCUUGUUCAUCAUUAAUGAACAUAUAUGUUAACUUCUUGUGCAUUUAUUUAACGUUUGUCUUUUAAUCGCCAAUUCUUUAAGCAUUUAACUGUUUUGUGCUAAAAAUCUUGCACAUUUUCUCUUGAUAUUUCCACCUCUUUUUACAAAACUUUGGGCUGCUUAAUUCCAUUUACUAGGCAGAAUGUGGCUGCUCAUAUUCUGUCUCUUCAUCUCCACCCCCUAUAAAUGUACGUAUGCUUCGCACUUUCCAUCUUCCAUCUUCAUCUUCAUUUUCUUCUUCGAAACCAAUUUGCUGCCAUUGUUUGGCUUUCUGACAAUCAAUCCAAAACCUUCGUCUUUCUAUAAAAAUGGAUUGUUUGGUCCGCCCGUUUUACUAUUUGCCUUGAUGUCACCUAUGGUGUGAGAGGUAUAGGAAAUAUUUUUUGGCCAGCAGCAAAGUUUUUACCAUCAAAAUUCUUCCCAUCGUCUCUUUAUCCUUUACAAGGAGUUCGAUGACAGAAGGCAAUUUUUGGGAUGCUUGCGGGACACCUUGCUUGCUGAGAGUGCUUCCUUAUCGGAUCUCUGAGGCCGCCAUUGUAGCGAUGCAUUUAGGAAGGUGGUGUGAGGCCAGUCCACCCUCUUACUUGGCGAUCCCACCAUUGCAGCGAUACAUUUAGGAAGGCGGUGCGAGGCCAAUCUACCCUCUUACUCGACGAUUGACCGGGAGAUUAGCUUACUUUUAAUUGUA
rnacentral:lncRNA from 1 species